AAUACUUACUAGUUGGUGUCGAACCACUUGGUCAUUUCCAUAGCGGGAACAGAGGCGUUUCCUCUGGCCAUGGAGAAGUAAACAUCAAAUCCAAUCUCGCCGCCGUUCCAGUUAUACCUCGGGGGCACGGCACCGAGCAUUGCGGUGGUGUCGAGCACUUGGUCGUAGUAGGAGAAAGUGUUGCUGGGAAUGUAUUUGAUCCCGGCCUGGGACAUCUGUUUCCAGAUGGAGGAUCUGAGAUCAGCGGACACCUUUUGCAAAUCCUCAGCGCUGCUCUUGCCAUCCCAGAAGGAUUCCAACGCGAACUUGAGCUCCCUCUUGGGGCCCAUGCGUGGGUAUCCAACGAUGUGAGAUGCCAUUUUACUGUCAUAAUCACGUCAUCAAUGAAUCGAAAAUCAGUCACUUUCAUUAAAUCAAGAAAAUAUUCAUUCAAAUGGAUGGGUCAUUGCUAUUACUGCUCAAAUCAAAUGAAAUCAAGUACACUUAUCAGAGCAUAAAAUCUUAAAUUAUUUUUUUUAUAAAAAAAUAAAAAACCAGUUGAAACAAGCUGAUAAUAAUCCAAGAGUUUGAGAUGAUUUUUUUCUUUCUGUAAUCACAUGAACAAUUAUGUACUUUCAGUCAUUUUUGAAGGAUUAAAACAAAAAAUUCUAAAAAUAGAUUCUGAAAAGAAGAAUCUAAAAAUAGAUUCAAAAACGGUAACAGAAGUAGAGUUCAAAUUGUUUUUCUGAAAAGAUUAAUUACAGAUCUGAUUGAUUCACGUUCAGAUCUAGCAAAAUCACGGCAGCCAAACACUAGAUCUAACACUAACAGUCACUCACCAGUCCAUUAGAAAAUGAAAUCAAGUUCAAAAUUCUUUUAAAGUUAAUUCUUUUUUAGAAAAUGACCAGAUUUUAGUUGAGUAUUAGUGAGUUUUUUACAAAAUAAUUUAUUUUUGUUUUUUAGAUCCAAAAGUUCGGAAAUCAAAACCAUGUUCAAUGCUUAUUCAUGAUUAACGGCGUAAAAACGCUACUGCAGAGAAGACAUAACGAAAAUGGGAACCGUACCAAACAGAGAAAGAAGAGCAGAGAAAUUGAGAGUCGAGAGGAGAGAGAGAAGAGAGCGGCGAGUUUGGGGGAGUGCCCUCUCCGUUAUUUAUAGCCAAAAAUCAAAUCUGGUUUGGUGGUUGCCUUUGGCGUGCCAACCUGUAGAUCUGAGAUUUUUCAUCUUAAUUUCUUUCUCUUAUUUAUUUAUUUAUUUAUUAUGAUCUUCAGUGCAGUUCAUAAAAUAUAGAGCUGACGCGCGCUUUUCUGAUGUGGCGCGUGAAUUGGAAAUGCGGUAGGUCUUUGUGGGCCCCACGGCGCGGUCAGGACUGAAGGAAAAAUGUGAGAAGUUAUCAUAAUUUCAACAGUGCCAUAAUUAGCAAUUACACCACCAAAUAUUUCUUGAGUUUUUUUUUUUUUGAUUGCUUUAAAUGCAGAGUUGUUAUGAAUUGUGUUAAUUGUAGAGUUGUUAUGAUUAGAUUACAUUAUAAUUCGUCACAAUUAUGAUAGGUAUGUACGUAUAUAAUAAUUUAUGAGUAAUGAUAUAACCACAAACUCUUGUACAAACUUAUUUUGUACAAAUUGAUGUGGCAUGAUAAAGUUGGUUGAAUUAAAUAUUACUUGAUCCACAUGAUUUGUUAUUAUUAUUUUAUAUUUUCAUUCAACCAAUGAAUUAAUGACACGUCAGUUUGUACAAGAUAAGUUUGUACAAGAGUUUAUGGUUGUAUCAUCACUCAUAAUUUAUAUAAGAUCUCGAAUAUUUAAAAAAUUUAUAAAUCAUUAUUUUCAUGUACAUUUACCUGGUAGCAAUGACAAUAACAUAAAAUAAACUCCAAACAAGAAUGGAUUAUAUUAUUUAUGUUAUUUUAUAGCUUUUUAAUUGAUUGUUAAAAGGAUUAAUUGUUAAUCAUUACUCUCCAACCGUAAUCACCAUUAAAUAUUUAUUUAAUUUAAUAGUCGGUAGAUCAUAAAUAAGAUUAGAAUAUUUAAUGGACAAUCUAAUUGCUACUACAAUUGUUAUCAUUUUUUUAAGGUAAGGGAUUAGACAAUACUCAAAUUUAUUUUUUAACCCCUUACUCCCUAAAGAUUCGAAUUUAACUAACUAAUUAAAUAAGACUGCUUAAAAACCACUCAACCACAUCUUUUGGGGACCAAUUAAUAUCGAUGUUUAAACUGAGGUUUAUUAUUAAAUUUUUUAAGUUUCAAGUUUCAACCGCUAACAACAUUAUCAUCGAUUAAUGAUAAAUAUAAUAAUAUUUCAUCAAAAAACCAUUUAACACAUCCAUCCAUAUUAAACAUAAGUAAAAAAUUUAUCAUGCAUUUCAAAUAUAUUUUUCAUCCUAAAAGUUAUGGAGAAAAUCUUGAUAUCAAAACUUACAAUGUAAUUAUGGGAUGUAAUUUUGCAUUUGAGGUCAGCACAACUUAAAAAUUACUAUGAAUGAAAAUUUAUAAUAAGCAGACACCACAAAAAAAAAUUAUUUAUAAGUAUUACAAUCAUGCAGUUUUAUUUAAGUAUUUAACCAAGUCAUUCAAUUUCUAAUUAAGACGGUAUAAAUUAGAUUUGGGCUGCCUAAGACCAAAAGUCAAAAAAAAAAAAAGAAUAUUCCUAAUAAGCAGCCUACCGCGGUCACGCGCCUUAAGAAACGCUUGGACUUAGCACACGAUUUUAAUCCAAAAUGUAUAAAAAAGGAAAAAUUUAUGAGGUGUAUAAUUAUCUUGAGUUGUUAUAUUUUGAAGAAACAAUGAAGAAAGUUGGUGGCCGAAGUUGAUCCGGGGCGAAUGGUGGUGGGCCCACGUUGUUGCAUUAUAAUUGGAGUUAUUGUAAUUUUUCUUAUAAUUAAUAAACUCCAUUUUUCAAAGAAAAUAAAUAAAUAAAUACACUCCCGAUUACGAAAAUAUCAUUUCAUGAGUGUCAAAGUUAGAGCUGGCAAAAUUUGACACGAUCCGAUUACCUGACACGAACACGACAUAAAUAAAUAAGUAUGGGUCGUCAAAUUUAACACGAUUAUUAAAUGGGUCGGGUUUGGGUCAACACAAUUUUUUUCCGUGUCGGGUUUGGGUUAAAAUUCUUGACCCAUUUACCCGAUCAAUGACCCGAUUAUAUUUUCUAUUUUAAAAUAAUUUACAUAUUCUUAUAAUUAAAACUCAAAUAUUAGAGAUAUUUUUUUUAUUCUUUAAAAUGGUGAAUAUAAACACAGUGUUUUAUUUAUAAAAUUUUACAUACAUUUAGAGCUUCAAUAGUGUAAAUGUGUAAAAAUUAAUAGACAUGUAUAUUUUAUAAUAUUGAUAUAUAAUAUUAUAUAUAUAUAAUUAAAACAUCAAUAGUGUAAAUGUGUAAUAUAUUGGUAGAUAUAUAUAUUUUAUAAUAUCGAUAAAUUAUGUAUGUAUGUAUUUAUGUACAUACGUAUGUAUGAUAGUGUGUAAAUAUUUUAUGUAACUUUUGUUCAAUAUAUAGAUAUUAAACGGGUUAUUGGGUAACCCGAUUGUUUUUCCGUGUCGGGUUUGGGUCUCAAUAUUUUGACACAAUUAUUAAAUGGGUCGGAUUUGGGUCGACCUAAAUUUGACACGACACGACACGAACACGACCCGAUGACCCGUUUUGCCAGCUCUAGUCAAAGUGACCGUCACCUACGCAUCGCGUUUGUUGGGCGGGGUGGGUAAGGUGGGGCGAGGAGUUUGUUUGAUCGUCUGAUUACUUUGAUUUUGAUGAAACGUAUGGACGACGGCGAUGGCUUGCCAGCAAGUGGGUUUAUCAUGAUUUUGAUUGUAUUCGGGGAGAUGCUUAUGUAUAUCCUCAAAACUUCUUGGAAAUGAAAACCGCUGGGGUGGCAAAUCUUGACCAAUAAAGUGUGCGUGAUGUUGCGUUUAUAAAUUUCAAUAAUACUAUUGGCCGAUUGAGAUUAUUUUUAAAAAGUUUAAAAAUAAUUUUUAAAGGUUAAGUGUUAAUUUUAAUAUUGAAUAAAUUUUUAAAAAUUAUUUUUGAUAAAAUCAUUUUAUCCUCCAAUAAAUUUUAAAAAAUAGCGAUACAGUAAUUUUUUAAAAUCUAAUUUUAAUAAUCAAAACUAUUUUUUUAUAUAAUUUUAUAGAUAUCCGCAUAUAUAUAUUAUAAAAAUUCGAAAUCAUUAUUAUUAAUUAGGAAAUAAAAUCAUUAACUUUUAAGAAAUUAUUAUUAUUACCAAUUAUACUGACAUAACAAAAUAAAAAAUUAAUUAAUAUUAUAAAUAUUUAUUUCAGUUAUCAACUAUUAUAUAUACACAAUAAAAAAUAUUUUAUAUACAUAUUUAUAAAUGUAUAAAUAAUUUUUAUUCAAUAUUAUAUCGAAUUAAUCAUUUACAUUCUUGCAACAAGUUAACAAUAAAAUUUACCAAACACAUACGAUUGUUUUUAAAACUCAUAUUAUUUUUUUAAAAAAAAUUACUAAACCUUUAACUGAUUCUCUUACAACUGAUUAUUUCUACAGUACAAUUAACAACAAUUAUUUUAAAAACUAUAACAUUUUCAAACUAGCCCCAUGACAAUAUUGUUAUUGUUGUUUUUCUUACUCUUAUCAAUAAAACUACGUUGCACAUAAGUGCAUAAAAAUUCACACAAAAUAAACUAUUUAACUUUAGGGUAUUAAUUGAAAAAAAAAUCAGAUUAAGGUGAAUAAAUAUCAGAAAAUAACAAAUAGAUAAACUCUCACACUCUUUAAAAAAAUUAAUUUUAUAAUUUUAUUUAAAACCAACAGAUAUUACCAAACUUAACGGAUCAAUGUUCCAAUGUUUUCUUUUUAAUUUCAAAACCAACAGAUAUUCUUUGUUCAUUAUAUGACCUCCAAACAAAUAAUUUCAUUAAUAAAAUAAUAAUGAAAAGUAUCGUGGUGAGUACAGAGUAAUUCGGUGGCUAAUAAAAGUCUCUAUUUUUCGUCUCUGUUUUUCAUUUUAACUCUUGGAUUGGUGCCACUUCGGCCUUGGUCGGAGUGGUGGGCUGCUGCCCUCACAAGUAUUGUGAGGACAGUGGUUCAAACCCCCACAAAAAUAUUUGUGGGGGCUAACGUACUUAUUUAUUUAAUAUUUCAAAAAUUUCUUCUCCCUCGUACAAUACGAGUGGAGUAUGGACAUCCCUCCUCUGUAAGGGAUUAUUUGUCUGGGCAUGUACUUCACAGAAUUCAAUGUAAUAAUAUAAGUCUCAAUCAUAUAUUUUUGAUUGUAAAUAUCAGUGUAAUAUAUCUGCUAUAAUAGCAGUUGUAAAUAUCUGUGUAAUGCAAUAAUAUGAUAAUUAAUCAUUAUUAAAAAAAAAACUCUUGGGGUUGGUAGGCUCGUGAAUGGUCCACGUAACCUCUGGACGUAACACUCAAACAAAGACAGCACAAGGCACAUGAAAAAUGCCUAAAAACCGUAAAACCGUGACGUGUUCAACAUAUUAAUAAAUUUAUACUGUGUUUUCUUUUUUUUUUUUAAUACUGUGUUGAUAAAGCACUUACGAUGGAACGACCAAUUCUAUUACUUGCAAAACUAAUUAAUAUUUCACUCUAUCAUCUAACUAAUGGAAGGCCAUCUUAAUUGAGGUUGCAAUAGUUAGAAAGUAGCGGGAAGGGUGGCCAAUGCUCCAUAUUAAUUUGCAUCAAUCCCUUUCUGGUGAAGAAGUACGGGUGAAGUAGAGGUCAAAGUUAGAAGAUGAAGGGUGUGUUUGGGAAUUGAGAGUGAGGUGCUGUAGUUUUUUAGCUGCAGUUGCUGUGAAAUAAAAGUUAUAACUGUGGAAUAGAAGUUGAGAAAAAAAAUUUGUUAAGCUGCCAAAGCCCAGUUACAAAUGUUACCAAACACCUUAGUAGCUAGGCUUUGGCAGCCCAUCUACCCCAUCACACUCCCAAACGGAUUAGAAGGGGACCGGGAUUGCUUUGUCAUAUUUGAAAAUGAUUUUGAAAAAAUAAAAAUUAAGUUCAGAAUUUGGUAAAUUCCUUUAAAAUUUCUUUUAGCAAAAUCACUCUCUCCUUUAGAUUUUGAAAAGUAUGGAAUGAGUAGUUUUUUAAAAUUUAAUUUUGAAAUUCGGAUUCAUAUUUAAUAUAAUACCAUAUAUCAUAACAUGUAUUAUAAAAAUCUAAAAUUAUCCUUAUUCAAUCAAUUAAGAAGUAAAAUCUUACAUUUAAAGAUAUUAUCAUUAUCAAUUAUAUUUAGAUAAUAAAAAAUACAAUUAAUAAAAUAAAAAUAUUUAUUUUAGUUAUCAAUUAUUAUAUAUAUACAUAAAAUGUAAUUAUAUAAACAUAUUUAUAAAUGUAUGUGUAAAUUAAAUUUGUAGAUUUAUGUUUAUAUAGAUCAUUUGCAUUCUUAUCACAUUUUAAAAGUGAGAUUUAUUAAAUAUAUAUAUGAUUAUUUUUAAAAUUUACAGCACUUUUUAAAACAAAAGUAUCAAAAGUUUAAUUGAUUCCUUAUUUUUACUGUACAACUAACAGUAAGAUGUGUUUGGUUCAAGUAUAAAAUGAUGGGAUUGGACAAUUUUAAGAUUAAAUAAUCCUAAUGCAAUGUUUGGUACCAAAAAUAAUUGUGGGAUAAAAAUAGUGGACCCCACCAUUUAAUCCAACACAAUGUCAAAAUUUUAUCACAAAGGGGGGUGUGGGAUAAGCUAAAACUUAAACGUAGGAUAACAAAAAAAAAGCCCAAAAUUUUAUACAACACAGUGAUUUUUUUUUUUUUUUGAGUAUGUCAUCAUCCAAUGAUAGUAUAUAUGCCAGAACACUCUUUUGACGUUAAUGAUAUGUAAUAUUUUCAUAUAUACAGCUAGUGACAUUGUUAUGUAAUUUCUUUUUCAUUUAUAGAUUUAUAUUAUUAUUAUAUUUGUUGAUGAUAUUCUUGUUAUGUUUAUAAUUAUAUUAUUUAGUAAUUUAUAAGUUUAAAAACUAUAACAUGUUAAAUAUAAGAAAAACUUUAAGCGAAGAUUUUGUAUUUUUUAACAAAUUUACCAAUAAUUUUUUAUUUAAGUUAGAUUAUAUUCCAUGUCAUUUUAAAAUAAAUCUAAGAUAAUUUUGAUAAAUUAAUAAAUAAGACAUAUUAUUAGUUACUAACCAAUUUCAUGGCAUACCAAACAUGAGAUAUGAUUAUUUACAGUCUAAUCCAACAUUGCACCAAACGUAAUAGAGUAUUAUAUAUAAUCCAAUGUUAUCAAAUCCAAUCAUAUCUUAUCCAAUCCGAUCCGAUCCAGUCUAAUCCAAUUUGACAUACCAAACAAGCCCUAAUUAUGUUAAAAACUACAUCAUUACCAAACUGACCCUUAAUACAAUCUCAUACAUACAUACAUAUAUAUAUAUAUAUUAAAAAUUAAAAAUUAUCUUUAUUUAGUUAGGAAAUAAAACCAUUAUAUUUAAAUAGAUUAAUAUUAUUACUAAUUAUAUUCAGAUAACAAAAUUAAUAAAAUAAAAAUAUUUGUUUGAUUUAUCAAUUAUUAUACACACAUAUUUAUAAAUGCAUGCGUAAAUAAAAUUUUAUAGAUUUAUGUCUAUUUAAAUCAUUUGCAUUCUUAUAACAUUUUAAAAAAAGAAAAGAAAAGUGAUUUACCAAAUACAUGUAAUUGUUCUUCAAACUUACAACACUUUUAAAAUAGAAUUUAAUAAAUGUUUAAUUAAUUUUUUCACAGCUGAUUAUUUUUAUGGUAUAACUAACAAUAAUCUAUAAACUUAUGGUAAAUAUUUGUGUGAAUGUUGGUCCAUGUAAAGAAGUAAAAACAACGCAUAUAUCAAGCAAUAAGAUAUCAAAACUCUUAGUAAAAUACAUAUACUAAUGAAAGAAUGACAGCAAUGCAAUAAAUAAGAUUAUAAUAUAAAUUAUUAAAAUUGUAUAUUAAAAAUUGAUGUAUGAAAUUCUUUUUAUUUUAGUGAUAGAUAAUGUGAUAUAUUUGAAUAAUUUGAUUAAAUGAAAAGAAAAAUAACAAGUAUGGUUGUGGAGGAAAUAAACCAUUGAACUGUGGAAUGUUAUUAAUUAUUGCUAUUUCAUUAUGUAACGUCCUGAUAAUAAGUACAGUGUUAUAGUAUAUUGAUGGGUGGUGAUAUUGUCACCCCUUAAAUUGUGUAAAGUCAACCUCAUUUACAAAUUUUUUGAUAUAAAUUAAAAAGUACAUUAGUUUUAAUAAAUUAUAUAUUUAUUGAAUAAACUAGAACCGUUAGGGAGCUGUAAUGUUAGCACUGUUUUAACUUAUUAUAAAAAAAAAAGUUAUGAUUUGAUCAUAACUCUAAUUUAGAAAAGAAAAAAGAGUUGAAUUGCUAACAUACUUAAAAAUAAAAUAAAAACAUUAUUAUUAGAUGAAAAAUUGUAAAACUUAAGGGGGCAUUUGCAAGUCCGCCACUACUCAUUAGAGCAUUAUUCAGUACUCGUUAAUAUAUCUCGAACUUUUAGGUUUUUUUAAUAUAUUUUUAAUACAUUUUCUAGAACAUUUAGAUAAAAAGAGUCAGUACUCCAAUUGAGUUGUGAAUAAACAUUUAGAUAAAAAGAGUCAAUACUCCAAUUGAGUUGUGAAUAAACUCAUGUUAAAAAAAAAAAAACUCAUUUUCACACUUGAAACGAUUAGUAAAUGGGUGAUACGAAUUUAACUUGGUCAAUAAUAUAUACCAUCUUAAGUUAACUUCAACUCAUUGAUCUUCUAUAGGGUUGAUCAGCCUGCCACAAGGCCCACAAAUUAUCACCUGUAAUGCUUUUGCAACAGUCGUUAUAAAUGCUGACAAAAUGAAACUUCUAUAUAUUUUGGUUUUUUUUAUUUCUAUGAAAUAUAAGGCCCUUAUGGCAAAUUUUCAUCCAGCGUGAAAUUUGCUAGUUUGGCCUUGGUACUGUGGCACAUGCGUCAUGCAUGCGUGGCUGAGAUGCUUCUAAAACUAAUAAAUUAUGAAGAAUUCCAAAUUCGUACCAAAAAUAAGAGAAUAGGAGCUUGUCAUAGGUGUCCGCGGAUCGGAUUUUAUGGGUUAAACAUUAAUUUAUAUCUGAUUCGUGAUUUUGUAGAUUAUAAAUUUUUAAUUUAAUUCAAUUUAUGGAUUAGUGAAACUCAAUACAAAUUAAAUCCAUAUAUAUGCAAAUUAGAUGCGGAUUUAACCCAAUGCAUAUUCAAUCCACCAUUUGGCGGAUUGAUUUGCAAAUUAAAAGUUUUUAAUUUUGUCCAAUCUAAAAAGUAAUUAAAUUAAAAAAAUCUAAUAUAUAAAUAAUUUAUUAAGUAAAAAAAUCUAAUGUGAAAAUAAUUUUACUACCAAUUAAAUUCAAAAUUAAACAAAAUUUAAAUAAAUUUAGAAUAAUACAUUCAAAAUUUUAAAAUAUAACACACCGAAAAAAAAAAUUCAUUUGUUUAGAUCAAUACAUGAAAAUUAACUAAAAUUAUGAAUUUAAAUGUUGAAACUUGAAAGCUUGGAUGCAACAGGAAGAAAUUAAGAAACUUGAAGAGCUUGAAAAGAAAGUGAGAAAUUAAGUUUAAUUAACUCAAGUGGUGAAGUGAAAUAGUGAUUGGCUUGUGCCUGCGGUGGGAUAGAGAUUUGGUGUUAUAUGUCAAAAUAUUUUGUUUGGCUUAGGGUUUUUGUUUUGCUUUAGAAAUUUUAAUGUUUAGGAAACUAUAUUUGCUUAUUUAAUUAUUUCUUAUUUUAUAUUUUAUCGAAUAAGAUAUAAUAUUUUGUUAAUUUAGCUAUAAUUUUAUGUUGAAUAUAUUUAUUUAAUACGAUUUUAUUAAAUAAAUGUGCAUAUUUAACGAAUGUCUCUGAAAUUUUAACCUGCCCACUAAUGAUGGCCAGUACGGCACGGCCCACCAAACGUCGGCCCACGCGGGCUCGUGGGCCAUGCCGACUUUUUUUGUAAGGGUCCGACACGGCCCACGGCACGGGUCCGUGCCCAAAAAAAGCCCACCAACUUUUUUUUUUUUGGUCCACAUGUUCAGCGUGCCUAAAAAAGCCCACGUGCCUGACAUAUUUUUUUAAGCCCACCAGCCUAAUAGUAACAACAACAACAACAAUAAUAAUAAUAAUAAUUUCAUAGAAAUAAUUAAUGAAAAAUAAAAUUACAAUUCUAGAAUAACAAUUACAUCUAAUUUUAUUUGAACAACUAAUAUUAUAAUUGCACAUAAACUCCAUUGAAUGAAAAUGUAAUUUUUAAUUUAUCAUAAAAAUAUUUUGUUCAUAAUUUUAUUUUUUUGUGCAUAAAUAUGAAAAAUAUUUCAUUCACAAAUGAAACAUAUCUCCAUUAACUAUUAACUAAGUUAUGAUUUCAUAAAUGAAAUAUUAAUGUCGUAAAAUUUUUUAUUUAUCAUUUAUAAAAUUAUGAUAUUUAUUUAUCCAUUUAAUAAAUUAUAAACAUAAAAAAAAUUAGAAUACUUAUUUAAACUAGGACUUAAAUUAAUUUUAAAAAGCCUAUGCUAAAAAAAUAUAUUAAAAAUUUUAAUUUCAAGAUUUUUAUAAAAUCAUGGUAUUUUAUAUUUAUUUUUCAUUAAAAAUUUUUAUUUUGAUAUAUUUUGGCCCACGUGCUAUUGGUAGCCCACGGGCCGUGUGCUUAGCUCACCAAUGAAGCGUGCUUAUUACAUGAUUUUUCGCGUGCCGUGUUUUGCCCCAUCUCUAAUCGUACCGUACUUUUAAGGUCUGUGUGCCUAAAAUUUUAGGCCCGACACGGCCCAUGUGUGUGCCGUGCCGUGCCUCGUGCCUUACCAAAACGUGCUCGUAUCGUGUCGUACCGUACCUCGUGCCGCCUGGCCCAUUGGCCAUCCCUACUGCCUGCCAACCACAUUUUUCCAAGAUCAAUUUGUAGGAAAAAAAUUUGAAAAUCAAUAAUUUAUUUAAUUAAUUGUUAAUGUAGGCAUUUGAAUCCCCACAAAAUCUGGGUGUCAGUUCUAGACUUCUGGUGAUAUAUUUUUCUAAUAAAGGAAUAAAAUAUUUUUGUCAUUUUUUUAAUAUUUUAAUUUACCAGGCAUAUCAACUAAUUAAUUUUUCUACUUAGAGUAUUAAUUCAUUACGUGCGCAAUCUGUAGCCCAGCGCUCCAAUCCCAUGCAUGUUACACACAACUCAAUCUUUAUUUAUUUAUUUUGACCAACAACUCAAUGUUUUUUAAUAUGAAAAGGUAUUGGUUAGCUUUGUCUUUAGUUUUUACAACUUAUAAUAAGUUUGUACUAAAACUCCGUUUGGUACAAAUUUUCAAGUAAAAUUUAUUUAAAUAGAAUUUUUAUAAAAAAAAAAUUUAAUUGUUUGGUUGUCAAUAAGAGUUUUUAUUAAAAAAAUAUGAAAUUACUUUAUUAGUCAAGUUUUUUAAAGUUAUGCUAUGAAAAGAAUAAAAUAAGAUUGUCAAAUAAAUAGAAAAUAUUUUAACAUUUAAAAAAACUUUUUAACCUUUAUUUUCAAAAAUUUAAAAUUUAAGCUUUUACUAGUAAAGGCAAAAUAAUUUAUUUAAACUUCAAAAGCUUUAUUAGAAAAAUAAUCAAACAACAACAAAAAUUAUUAUAAAAACUUAUCGAAUUAAAUAAGUACUUAUAGUUAUUAAAUAAGUUAUAUCAAACAGAUACUAAUGCCGAAAGCCCCUUCUAAUUGUGGGUGUAAAAGUUUGAAUUAUGCAUACGGUUAAGGAGUUAAGGUGUGUUUGGCAACUGCAUUAAGUGGAAAUUUUUAUUUUGUUUGGAAUAAAAAUACAGCAAGCUCGUGUUCGGCUCAAAAUAAUGGAACGUUUAUGUUGUGUUUACUUGCUGGAGUGGGAGUGAGGAGUGUGGAUUCCUCCCACUCCAGCGUUUACUUACUUAAAAUAGGGAGGGAUUGGGAGUCCCACUCCGUGGGCCCCACCCAUUUUUGGAGUGGGGAGUGGGAGUGGGACUCCCAUUGGGGGAGGUGGGAGUGGGAAUCCACUCCCACCUCUCCCAUUUCUACCCUUUUUUUUAUUUUAUGUUUUAUAAUUAAUAAAAUAAAAUAAAUAAUAUUAUAUUUAUUUAAAUAAUAAUAUUAUAUUUAACUAAAUAAUAAUUUACAUUGAUUCUAAGUUAAAAUUAUUUUAAAAUAAUAUUAUUAUAUUAAUAGAGAAUUAAUAAAUAUAAUAUUAUUAUAUUUAUUUUAAAAAUAAUAGUACUAUAUUUAUUUAAUAAUAAUAAUAAAUACUUUAUUCUAAGAAAAUAUUAAUUUUGUACUAAAUAAUAUUAUAUUAUUAUUUUAUAUAAUAAUAAAUUUAAUAUAAUUAUAUUAAAUAAAAUAACAUUUCAUUUUAUAUUAAAAUUACAAUUAAUAAUUUAUUGUUCAUAAUUAAGAAUAUUAAUAAUUAUAAUAAAUUUACAAAUAUAAUAAAAUAAAUAUUAUUCAUUAAAUAUAUUUUUUAUUAGUUUUGUAAUUAAAAAUUAUAAUUCUUUAAAUAAGGAUAAAAUUGUAAUUUGAAACUAUUUACUCCCAAUCCAAGACAAAGUAAACACAUAAAUUGGAUUCUGAUCUCCAUUUCAUGCUUCCAUUCCAGUGUAAGUAAACAACCUACUCCCACUCCCACUCCACACUCCCAAUCCUAGGAUUCUCACUCCCCAAAAUUCCCAAUCCAAUCCAAAAAGUAAACGCUACCUUAAUUUGCAACCGUCGGCGGACGAAGCACACCGUUCACGGCCCUUCGUAUAAAAUUGAAUAUGUAAACGUAAAUAGGUCCGGAUUCAGAUUCGUUGCUGUAGAGAGUGGCACGCACGAUCGGGCUGCUGUCGGUGGUAGGUUGGCAUUGGAAUUCUCAUCACGCGCUUCCCCAGGCGCCUACUUAUGGCAAAUUGACACGUGACGCGUGUGGAUUGAAUGGACAGAGUCCCGGGCAGUGUGUCCAAAGCUGCCAACCGUGCUCUGAUUUUUUGUCAUCCAUAAUGGCUAACGACUAACGAGGGAGAUUUCCGGGCAGAAAGAAAUUGCUGUCGUUUCUGAAGGGGAAAAAAAAGUUAUUUAAUUUGUUUUUUUUUUUUGUACAAUAUUUAAUUUGUUGUUGAAGACAAAAUGAAGAUCUAAAUAAAUAAUGGCUAAUUUUGAGUGUAAACUGUAAAGCAACGGUAAAUGCAUUAUUAAAUUAGAUUUAGGGCUUGAUUGAGAUUAUUUUUAGAUUUAAAAUUAAUUUUGAAAAGUUAAAAUUAAUUUUGAUGUUUAUUAAUUUUUAUUAAAAAUUAUUUUUGUCAAAAUCUCUCAUCCUCCAGCAUAUUAUAAAAAAUAAGGAAGAAAUAAUUUUCAAAAUUUAAUUUUAAGAAUCAGUUUUAUACUUAAUAUAAUCCACAUAUAUCCUCGUAAAUAUUAUAAAAAAUUAAAAUUAUUCUUAUUUAUUUAGGAUAUAAAAUUAUUAAAUUCAAACAUAUUAUUAUUAUUAUUAUUAUUAUUAUACACACACGCACACACAUACUUAUAAAUUUAUAAAUAAACUUUAUUUAAUAUUAUGUUCACUUAAAUCAUUUAUAUUCUUAUAGCAGUUUAACAUUAUGAUUUACCAAACACAGAUAAUUAUUUUUAAAACCCAUAAUAUUUUUAAAAAUAAAUUUUAAUAAAUAUUUAACUUAUUAUUCUGACAACUGAUUUUUUUUGUAAGGUAUAACCAUUAAUAAUAAAUAUUUUAAAAGUUACAGUAUCCCCAAAUUGGCCCUUACUAAUACUCUGCGUUGCCAACUAAAUACUAAUUGUAACAUUUAACAUCUGGAAUAUUUUUCUCUAACGAAACAACACAAUUAAUUUCCCUCUAAAAAGAAAAAGAAAAAGAAAAAAUAAACUACCAACCCCACCCCUUUAGACAGCAGAGUUUUAGCUGAGGCGGCUUGCUUGCAUAAGCAUUAAGGCUGCUCUUCACCAACCAUUGAACAUUCUUUCCAUUUGAUUGUUACACUUUACUUCGCCAUCUCAUGUCCAUGUACAUUGUUUUGAAAUGAAGACUUUGCGUACAACUAAUCUUUUUCAAUUCAUAAUAAAAACUCUUUUAAUUAGUUAAUAGCUAUAGCUUCCAAUUGAGACUAUAUAUAAAAAUCCAUAUUGACUGACCAAACCAAUAAUUUUUAAUUGGCUUGAGCAUUGUCUUACUUACUUCAAAAUCGUCACUCUCUUUGUCAAGAACAUGAGAGAGUUCACCUCCAUCUCAACCCUUAACCCUAUAUCUCAGUCAAAACCAAAGCGCCAUGAGAUAAGAUUUUAUAUCCAAAAUUUACAAACCCUCUUUUAACCUGUAGCGUGCAAGAGAUUAUUCAUGGAAAAUUCAGAAAAAAAAAAUGUUGCAAUAUUUACGAAACUCACGUCACGUGAGGUAAGAUAAAUUAUUCCUUUCUGCUUUAAUUCAUGUACAUAAUCAUGAGAAUAACUUUAAUUAUAGUUUAUUUCUCCGUUUUAAGAUUUUUCCUUUUUUUUUUUAAUUAAUUAAUUAUAGUUCAUUCAUUAAUCCCAUAAGAAAUUAACACCUUUGCCGGUAAAGUCACACAUACAACAAUAUUUUAGAACAAAAGGGAAGAUCAUGCACGAUCAUGAUGUUUUAUUAUAUCUCUAGCAAUAUAAUUAUCUUAUAAGUAAUUAAAAACAAAACAGGUAAUUAAGCCAAAGUGGAUGGCAUGCAUCAAUCAUCAUGCAGAACACCUCCCCUUGUUUUAAAUAUAAAUAAAAGAAAUUUGUGCCCAGAAGACUUAAUUAAUACUUCUCGUUUCUGAAGUGCUCACAUGAUAUAUAGUCGGACGCAUUAUAUUUAAUUUCAUGAAUUAAUCGUACGGUUGUAUUUUGAGAGUGUGUGUGAGUGACUGAGUAAGAUAUGGCUUAAUUUAACCAAAUCUACGUAUAAAAUUUUAAAAUGAAUUUUUGAGUUUUAACUUAGGAAUUGUCUAUGAAUAAAAGUGUUAAUCAAAUAUUUUGUGUAAAAACAGUCAGCUGUAACAUUUUCGGUUGCUUUAACAAAACUGUAUAUUUCUGUAAUUUCCUAUAUGGGCCAAAAGGAACAUUUUUUUCAGAAAUUAAAAACUUAUGGUGAAAAAGAUAAGAAAACCAACAGGUUCAAAGGUGCGAGUAAACUGGGCUCUGGUGCGCCCAACUCCCUCUUUUGAUUUUGAGACUCUAUUGACCAUUGAGUUUGAGGCCCCAACGGCCCAGUUUAAAACUGUUAUGAAAAGAAAAAAAAUAUAACUAUAAAAUUAAAAUUAAUAAUGUUUGAUAAAUAUAAUUUUUAAAUAAUAAUUUGACAAAAAUAAUAUAGGGUCUUGUGUAUAUUUUUAUUUGGCAUUUCAAUUAAUCUGCUUUUAUAUAUAUAUAUAUAUAUAUAUAAGUUAAUCUAUAUUUCUUGCAAGAAGAUAGUAUUUCUUUAAUUAAAGUCAAAACUAAUAUAUAAAUUAUCAACUAACCAUCAAACAUUUAUCUCAUUUUAUCUCCACCACGAUCAUCACCAUUCAUCCUGUCACGAUCUUUAUGUAACUACAAUUAUUUUUUCUUUAAUAAUGUCAACCCACCAACCCCAUAACAAUAUCUCCAAACAUCUCAUCUCAAAAUUCCUAAUAACAUAAGUGUUUAUGUAUGAAAGAAAAUGUGAAAUAUAUAAUCAAAAAGUAGUUUAAUAAUAUAAUGUUUAAAAAUUAUGGUAAAAAUAAGUGAGAGUUUGGCAUGGCAAGUUAAUAAAAAGAUAAAAGCUCGGACACUUGAUGCAUCAAAGUAGCAAUGUCUGUUCAUCAUCAUCAUGCGGGUUUAGGUGCUUCUCAUGAUAGCAUUAGCUGGUAAGACCGUCAUGCAUCGUACUUUCAUUGUUAUACAUUUUGAAGGUAAGAAUGGUUAUGUUACGUCCCUCCGAUUAGGUGUAUUUUUCUUCUUCUUCUUCUUCUUUUUCUUCUUCUUGUACGUAAUAAUUUCUCUUUCUUCCAUGAAGAUUUCUUUCUCUCUUUUUUUUUUUUUUUUUUUAAUUAUAAAUAAAAUGAUAAGAACUAAUUUCCUUACUAAUUGGUAGGGUCGUUUAAUGGUUCAGAUCCAUUAGAUUUUGUCAAAUUCAAGUCCAAUCCAUCAUAUAUUCCAUUUUAUAUUCCGGAUCCGAUCACUAAUAGAAAUCCAUUAUAAUUUAAAACAAUAAAACGUCGAAUCCAAUUUAAUUCGAUAUGAUCAAUCCAAUUAAAAUAAAAAUUUACAAAUAAAAAUCAUUAGUUGCUCUCUCCAGUUAUAAUUCUUAACAAUUAAAAAAAUACAAAAUAUCAACUCCUUUAAUAUUUCAUGAUUCAUGUACUUUAUUAUCGUAUGGUUGGAAAAAAAAGUUGAAAUUUGAAUAUUAAAAGCAAAUGUUGGUUGCGACCUGCUGUUUGUAUUCUAUAUUGUUAUAGUAUAUUUAUAGUUAUUUUUUUAGCAAGUUAAAUAUAAAAGUGACAUAUAGUUUUUUUUUUAAAAAAAAAAUAAAUAAAGAAAAUAAAAAAUUAAUUGAUUGGAUUGGUUUAUAUUGGAUUUGAACAUAUAGAUCCAUAGACCAAUCUAAUAACAUUAUAUUUUUUAUUUUGCAAUCUUAUCCAAUCCAAUCAAAAUGUCAAUAUGACAAAAGUUGGAUUGGUUUUGAUCAGAUCUAUUGGUUUGAUUGGAUUGAAUUGAAUUAGAUCUUGAACAUCCUACCAAUUAGACUUUCCGUGAAUUUUUUUUUUCCAAAUUUAAUAAAGAGACUUCCCAUGAAUGUUAAAUGCAGUUUUAUUGAUGAAUUCUGCAAUUUUAAGAAAUGUUUGAUACACGAAUAAUGCAUCUCAUCAACCAAGUAACUGCUUCCCCUGCAGCAGCCGCGGCUUCAACUGGAAUACUGCAGCCACACCGGUCUUGAGACUCAACAUUCGGCCGAAACUCAAGCAAAAGUUGAACAAUAUCAGGCCUGCUUUGAGCUAUAGCAAUAUGAAGCAAUGUUUGUCCCUGCGCACCAGCAGAAUCAGCUGGGUGGGUUCCAAGCAGGGUCACUCUGUUCAAGAACCUCUCUUAUCUCAUCCAUUUCACCAUCCUUAACUAGCUGAACCACAACAUGGGACCCAACAAACAUGAUCUUGAUUCCUAUUGAUGAACGCUGGCUUCUUCCUUCUUGUGAACCAGUCACCAGGAACCGAAUCAAGCAUCAAUGUUGCAUCUUUAAUUGCAGCUGCAGGAACGACAACGCUAUGCAAGAGGAAGGAAUCAUCACAGUGAGGGAAAGUAUGAAGGAGAACUGAUCCUGGAGGAAGAUGAUACGCAAUCUCUAUGCUUACUGUUCCGAGUGGUUGCAUUGACCUGAAUAGUUCGAUCUAUUUCUCGUGUAUCUACUUGCGCUGCACUUUCACUCGAAGAACCUACAAAAUUAUUCAUAACCCGGCAUAAAAAAGACGUAAAGUUUUCAGCGCGAGCAUGGUAACUUCAAAACCCGUUUCAUACCUAUCAUAUUUCAUUCGUCCCGCACCCUCAUUUAAAAGACUAGAGCUUAUAAAAACUAGAAGUACCUUACCCAGAACAUAAAAGCAGACAAAACCCAGUCGAGUAUAAAUAUAACGUUGAAUAACACCUACCAUUUACCAUUUCAUUCAAGAACACCACACAAUUAAUGAAACCAACAUCGGUAUGUUUUCAGCCGUUGUACUUUCAACUUAAUUUUGAAAGCGCGGCAGCUAAAGCCUAAACUGUUGUUUGAUAAAAGUCCACCCACUGACUGCUACCUGGCGGCUACCGAUUCCAUUCAAUAGCAGUCAUAAAAUAAAAAGUACAAAACAAACCUAUGUACAAAAAAGGCAAUGAAGCAGCCAUGGAUUCAGUUAUUUGCAUGUUUGGGAUUGUGGUUGAUUCCAAAUUGAGAAUAUACUGCGAAAUUAUGUUUGAUAAGCAUUUAUCUGAUGAUUGCUACUUUAUUGAGUCUUAAAAGAAAAACUCAAUCAACUAAUGCUCGAUUUUUUUUUUUAAAUGACAAAUCAAAAAGUAUUUUGGAGUAGAUUCUCAAAAUAGUGAUUAUUUGAUAAUCCACCAUAAUCCCACUUAGUUAUCAGAAAUAAAUUAAAAUCCGACGAAUGUUACUUAAGCCAAACAGCAUUAUUUUAUUUUGACCACAAGGACCACAACCCUCAAGCUGUCAAGCAACCGUUACCGUUAACGACCAAUCUUUCACCUCUCCGAAUCUUUGCAAGUCACUAUCAAGCAACCGUUACUAAUAUUUAAUCAAUUAUUAGGAUUAUUGGAUUUCUCAAAUACCUUAUGUACUUUGGUUCACUUUCUACUAAAAUAAAUAUUACAGGAGCUUUCAAAGUCUAGGCUAAGGUUGUUGUAAACAUAGAGAGAUUCAGAGAUAUAACAGCUUGUAAUUACAUACCACAAAGCAUAACUUUGUUCGAAUGAUAAUGAUCAUAAUCCAGAUUAUAGACGUAGAGAGAGGAGAAGUCGUACUUGAGGGGCAAAACGCGGCGUUUUGGCUCGUGGAUGAGGUGCUGCUCCUGAUCGUCGUAGAUUGAAGGGAGGAGAGGUCGGUCGAGGAAGUUUAGGAGACGGUGGAGGCUGAAUUGGUGAAUUUCGAUGAAGACUGACGAAUCCAAUGGGGCUUGAGGGUUUGAUUUGCAAAGAUGAAAGAUAAGAGCAUUGUUUUGGUUUCUGUGCAAAAAAAAAAAAAAAAAACAUGACAAGCGUUGUUUUGGUUUUGGUUCUAAAAAGAUGAAAAUUUGACUGCAAUGGAUCCAUACGCAGUCGGUGUCAAAUAAGAGGAGAAACAAAUAUGUUAAUCACUCGCUCAAUCACUCAUGCGAAGUGCCUUUUUUUUCGUUGCUUUGGCUUCUGAGAAAUAUAUGCAUCAGAUAUUACAACUCUCGAGGAUAAUGCAUUUUGUUCCGGUUUUGACUGAUAUUUAGUGGCAUUUGAUAAACUGAUACCUCAGAACCUGGUAGAGAGUUUAUUAAAUACAAAGAGAACAAAAAUAUAUGACUAUAUAAGCUUUUACACGGUUGAAGAUCCGGUCAAAUUGGCUUUAGUUAGCAAGAUCAUUUAAAACUUUCAAAAAACGAAUGGUAUCAAAAAGCUCUGAGAAAAAGCGGAAAAAAGGCACCACAAAGAUCUUGCAAUUAUUAUCACAGCUUGAUAAGACAUGGAAAUGUAUCUUACAAAUUGGCCUUCCAAGCAUCAAAGAAUUGGGUGGCGACAACUCCCAUUCCUAGCUGCUACCGUGGCCAGUCCCUUCUAACUAAAAUGGGACAGGACCAAAAGCAAGGUCUCUCCCACUCUCCUUAUGCAUAUAAAAUUCCCUACAUUCGAAUAAAACUACAGAAAAAGAUUUGCACAUCAUCUUCUUUCACCUUAUUUUGCAAUCUUCAAGAGUUUGGAAGAUUUCAAAGCACUUGUUAGAAUGUAGCACUCCAUUAAGCAUUCUCACCUUCCCCACACCCCAAUGGACCUCCUUAAUCCUAUCGGCAGACCUACAAAUUCUGCUGCAACUCCAAUCAAAUAAAGCAACACAAUUGUUGCCUGCCUAAGCCUUCCACUCACAGCCUGCAAUGACAAGUUCAUGAUACAAAAUCAGAAACAUUAAUAAACAAAAAGAUAUUACCAUUACUUGCAGAGGGGGAUUUGUUGCAAUUAGUAAAUGCCAUACUUAUCACUUUCAUUGCAGAUAUCAUCGUCAUCAUAAUACUAGCAAUCCAGCACUAAUAGUCAGAAUAAUAAUAAUAGUAGCAUGAAUAAAGAAUUUCUGCAGAGUAAGCUCUAAAGAUGCCGAAAGUGUCAUCUAUUAUGUUAAUAAUAAAAAAGUCUAUCAAGAAUUCAAGGAAAGAAAACUCAUUAACAAAGAACUAAACUUUUUAAUAAUGUUUAAUAAACUAAGUACUUAUGAUUUUCUAUUAUUAACAUAAAUGACACUACGUACAACUGAUUUUCGCUUUCUAAUGUUUCAAAUCAUACCGAGAAAUAUAACAAUUACCAAGUCAGUAAGUAGCACAAUUACUUAAUAAGACUUUGACUUGUCUAACCCAAAAUUGUACCCAAUUCUAUACUCUACCAUGAAAAGCUUAUGAAGCCGAACUUACUUUGACCAAACAGUACUAUUAGCUCAGUUAAAGGAAACCACAAUUGAACAAAGUUCAGCUGAAAUAACUGAACUAAAAAAACUUGAUAAAAUUAAAAGUAACUUAUAACAGUUUGGUAAAGAAGCAUACAAAACAUGAAGAUAAAUAAACAUAGGUCUAUUUUCUUGACACUACCAGGUCCUUUCCUUUUUUUUUUUUCAGAUAAGAUCUCGAUACUACCAAGUUUUGGAUUCAAAAUCACCAUAUUACAAUAAUAGUUGUGAUUCAUGGGAUACAAUAUGUAGCAGCUUAUAUGUCGGCAAUUAUACUCAAAGAUGGUUGUCAAACAUCAUCACAAAUCAAGAAGCUAAUAAAGACCGUGUCACACUACAUUAACAUAUAUCAGUUCUUUGAUACAAAGAUAUUGAAUGUUAUACAUUUCUAAUCCCAAGUCCUGAAAUACAAAACAAAAGUUCACUUCACACAGUCAUAAAGCUAGACUGCUAGAUAAAUGGACAAUAGGCAUUGGAUAUGGGUCAAUAAACUAUUAAGCUAAUUAAUGCACACGAAGGAAUCCGUUAGAGCUAGUAAAAUAGCCCUUACCAGAGAACUCGCAGAAGCAUUCAAUUUCCUCAAAGGAGAUAACUUACAACAUAAACAUUUUGAUAAGCAGCAAUACACAUAAAAUAGCUUCACUCACUAGCAACAGAGCAACUUCUUCAACACAUUAAUAAAUCCAUUUUCAUUUUUAAACAACAAAAUAAUGCCCAGUCUCUCCAGCACAAAUAGGGUAAGCAGUAAUAGAAAAACAUGAUACAUAGGAAUUACCGGCCUCAAGAAAUCUCCAAGCUUUCUGUCCUCUGCUUCAAUUGCUCAAUCAAGAAUGCCCCAGACGUUGCGCUAGCGUGGUGGUGGAGCGUCGCGAAGCGUGUGGCGGCGGUGUCGGCGAAGGCAGGUCAUGAAGAUAGUUGGUGUCGCGCAGCGAAGGCAGUGCAGCUGGUGUCAUGCGGCGAAGGCAAAUCGCGUGGUGGUGGAGUUGGGGUCGCGCGGCAGUGGCGGUGCGGUGCUGAGGCAUAAUAGUGGCGGUGGCGUUGUGCGACAGUGGCAGUGUGGAAGCAGAUUGCGUGGAGCUGGCGGUGUUGAGGCAGAUUGCGUGGAGCUGGCGGUGUUGAGGCAGAUCGCGUGGAGGCAGAUGCCGCGGUGGUGGAGUUGCUGUCGCGAUCAACGCCUGUGAAAGGGAAUGAAAGUGAAGGAGAUACCUACAAAAGAAAGAACGAGUGAAAUUUUUUUUUUUUGUUCAAGGGUUUCAAACCCACAUAAACCCGACUCUCACACGGGUUCAGUAAGUUUAUGCGGGUUUGACUGCAUUACAAAUUGGUAUGACCACAACAACAGUACAAUGAUUGGUAAUUACCAAACAUGCUAUUUAUGUUGGUAUUAAAUUAAUUUAAUACAAUGAGGACUGUUAAAUAUGGUGUGUUUAAUAUGUUGUAUUGUAUUAUAUUAUUUUAAUACAAAUAUAUUAUAUUAUCUUGUAUUAUAAUAAUAUUAUAUAAUAUUUUGUGCUACAUUGUGUUGUAUUAAUUUAUAAUUAUAAUAUAUUUAAUGCUGCACCACGCUGUACUAAUUUUUUUAGUAAUCAAUUUAAAUUAUAUAUUUUACGAAUAAUAUUUAUUAAAAUACUUAAAAAUGCUAAAUAUGAAAAUAUUGAAUUUUAAAAAUUUAAUAUUAUUUUUUUAAUAUAAAUAUUAAAAAAUAUCAUAAUUCUUCAUAGAAAUCGAAGUUCAUGGCAUUAAAUUUUUAACACCGCAUACAUAAUAAAAAAUUUGAUUCUCUGGUGCCAAUAUAAUAGAAUACAUAAAAACGAGACUGAGAAACUACGAAUAAAGCUCAUCAUCAAGGACUCCACAACAUUAUAAGAAGUACUAUGUAACAUUUGCCAAAUUACAACACCACAUCAAGACAUAUCACAAUGUAAAAUUUUUCCUAGAGAUUUGGUAAUUGAAAAACACAAUUCAAGUUGAAAACUGAUAGUCGACUUGAAAAGUUUUAACAUAUCCCAUAAAAGAAAUGUGCCAUGCCAAAAAUCCUAACCCUUGGCUCUUUGACGAUAAGAAAAUAUUGAAAAUUCCAAAGUACAGUGCAAUGGGAGAAAGAAUGCCUAUAAAGCUAGUAAAGAUAUUCUUAAACUACUACUUCAACCAAAUUUGAAGCCACCAGGUGGAAUGUUGGGAUGUUGGGCUGGUUGGUAGCAAAACCCAAACCCUGCUGCUGAUUUCCGAUACCACCAUCUUGGAUAAGCCGCUCUUCCUCCUCUUCCUAACUCCUAAGCCCAAUAUCUUUCCAAAACCUUCACAACCUACUCAUAAAUCUCAUUGUUGUCGUGGAUAUGCAAAUUCUCAAUCUUUUCUACUCCAUCACACUCAUCAAUCAUUUGGGUAUAAACAUUAACCCAAUUAUCCAUUCCUAUUUCCUUGUUAACCUCACCCACCUUGAAAAUGUUCUCAAGACCCUAUAGACAAACUGUGACGAUCCUUUGGUCCAGACAAACCAGAAGAUCACAGAGCGGUUUGAUGCAACCUUGGCUCACCAGGAAUCUGCAGGACCAUGGUACCAUAAGUGAUUCUAUCACAUGAACAUCAUUAGAUUAAAAAAGAAAAAAAAAAAAGAAACAUCUAUCGUAUGAACAUUGCUGAGUGAAUAAAAGAAACAUACUGAAUAUGUUCAUGAGAUCCUCCAUAUGUGGCAUUUAAGACAGGCCAUGCAGCCUCCUUGAUUUCAAGUUCUGCAUGUUGAAGAAGAGGUGCACAAAAGGAAGGAUAAGGAAGGAUGAUAUUGGCCUCCAUAACAGCCUGUUGAACAAAAAUUCGACAAAUUAUAAUUAUGAGUAUAUUUAAGUAGCAAUUUUGUCAGAAUUAACUAGACUUGACUAUUGAGGAAGUCACAUUCAAAAAUAGAAAAGACGAGCAAGCAAUUGUAUUCAUGCUAUCGGGACCAAAAUACUAUGAUGCAAGCAAGAAAGAAAAACAUACAUACAUAUAAAACACUAUCUUUGAGUUGGGUAUUUUCUUUCAAUUUUGAUAAUGGCAACUUUGGAUUCUUCUGCUGAAUUACCACCACCACCACACCAUUGUAGUUUCACAUACUAAGAAAAGGCAGGUUCAGCUCCCGUGCAUGCCCAUAAGAAUAUGAUGUAUUAAUUAGAAGUAAAAUUAAUCUGUUCAAUUAAGUUCUCUCAUAUAUUUGUGUGCGUGUGUGUGUUAAUUAGUUUGCUUUCAAAUCUUUUCUCCCUUCUUAAUGAUAUAUAUUUUAAGCAUGAUAUCAACCACGAUGAAUUUAUUAGCCGAUUUUUAAUUAUACAUUCAGCAUGAUAUCACAAACCAAGAGCUUAAGUUAGCCUAAUUCUUCAUAAAUCUAAUAAUUGCAAUCAAUAAUAAUGCUGAAAAUACGAGUUUGAAUUAAGCUAGCAACUGGUUCUUAAAUUAUGCAAUAUGUAAUCAUAGGUUUACUUAAAGAUUAAAGCAUUUCUGCAAUCCAUUGUACAAAAAGAUUAAAAAAAAAAAAAUAGUUGCCAAAUUUUAUCUAAAUAAAAAUUCCUUUAGUGGUUAGUACUUGUGAAUUAUAGAAAUUAUUAUUAGUACUUGCUCAGCGCUUUUUAGAUUUGUACAGGUAGAUUACGCCAUUUCAAACCCGACCAUCCAUUUAGACAUACAAAUCCCCCCAAUUCCCUGUCCUCCGCCUUUACGCGACUCUCCACUGUAUGUGCCAACUAAUUAAUUUUUUAAUUACUUGUUUAACUAAUUAAUUCAUUUUCUCAAAAGCAAGAUUAAUCUAUUUGUUCAAAUCUGAAGGAGAUUAAGUUAAUUGAUUUUAUUGUAUGUAAAAAUAUACAAAGAACUCAUGAAGCCAACUAGAAAAAAAAAAAAGACAAAAAAAAAAUCAAACCCAGAAAUAAAAAGACAUGCUUCGACAGAAAAUUAAAGAAAAUUAUACUGAUUGUGGUUCAAUUUGAUCAAACCCAAAUAAUAACCGGUUUGAUUGAUGACUCAGCGGCAAAGUGCAGGCGCAUCAGUGGUUGCACAGAUGAGUGUUCUCGUGCGGCACGACAAAGCAAUUGUCGGCGAUUGUGAUUGGUGAUGACAUCGAGCGAUGGGGGUAAUGGCAUCGGUCGUGACUUUGUGAUGGAGAAACGAAUGUUAGAUUCGUUCGAAGAUUCGUGUUUUGAUUGAAUAACAAAGAGAGAUUUUAUGAGUUUUAAUUAUCUAAUACGAUACCGCAUAAACCCGACUCGUACGUGGGUUUAUUUUAUGCGGGUUUCGGUGUACUAAAGCAGUAAAUUUAUGUGGUGCAAUUCAAACUGAUUUCACCGCCAAAAGAUCGUGUAAAUUUAAUAUUAUACAGGGUUUUAAUACUAUGUAAUCCAAUACACCAAACAUGCCCUUAAAAACGGAUAGCAAUCCGGGGCCUUUAAAAACGGAAAAUACAAGCAGAGAAAAAGAAAAGCCAAUUGUUCAAAAGUGCCUAAUAUGCCCACGGAAAAUUUUCGUCACGACCCACAGUUACUCGAAUAGGUAAUAAGACAGGAAUGCCUUUGUUUGUUCGAAUAUAGAAGCACAAUGGCUCAGAAAGGAUCCCUCCAAUCUCCUUGGCACUGUCAGCUGGGUGCGGAGUAGCUUGGUGGCAGCAACCAUGUUUGAGAGGGCUGGCUUCACCUCAGUGUACUUGCGAGUCUUGAGACCACAGUCAGGGUUAACCCACAAAAUGUUGGUUUCUAGCACAGUACGCAUCUCGUAGAUUCUGUCAACAAUUUCUUCGGUUGAUGGUAUUCUUGGAGAGUGGAUGUCAUAGAUGCCAGGGCCAAUUGCAGCAUCAUACUGGACUCCCUCACGGAAGACUGACAGGAGAUUCUCAUUAGAACGAGAGUUCUCAAUGGUGAUCACAUCAGCAUCCAUGUCGAUAAUUGAGUGGAUAAUAUCGUUGAAGUUGGAGUAGCACAUGUGGGUGUGGAUCUGUCAAUCAAUAAACAAUAGAAUGAGAUACAAAAUCAACAGCUAAAUUAAAGAGAUGAGAUUGGAGAUUAAAAGGGUAACUGACCUGGGUAGUGUCCUGGAUGCCACAGUUGGUGAUUCUGAAGGAGUGGACUGCCCAGUCCAAGUAGAAAGCAUGCUCAGAUUUCCUGAGAGGCAAUCCUUCCCUCAAGGCAGCCUCAUCAAUUUGAAUAACGUUAAUGCCUGCCUUCUCAAGAUCCUCGACUUCAUCCUUGAUGGCCAAAGCAAUCUGGUAGCAGGUUUCAUGUCUGCAAAAUUGGCAGCGAUUGAUGUUAAACAAUGUUUCCAUUCCAAAAGGUUAACCAAUAGUGAACCAGUUCUCAUUUAUAUACCUGGGCUGGUCAUUUCUGACAAAGGACCAGUUGAGAAUGGUGACAGGGCCAGUAAGCAUUCCCUUCAUUGGGCGAGCAGUCAUGCUCUGAGCCCAGGAGGACCAGAAGACGGUCAUAGCCUUGGGACGGCUCACAUCACCAUAGAUGAUGGGUGGCUUCACACAGCGAGAUCCAUAGGAUUGCACCCACCCAUUGGCAGUGAAGGCGAAACCUGAUAACUGCUCUCCAUAGUACUCAACCAUGUCGUUUCUCUACAAAAACAAAUGUCCGAAUUCAAUUUGAGAUCCAGCAUACUUCGUAUGCAAUUAGAAAUGUAGAAACAAAAAUGUAUAAAAUUUUAUGUAAUUCAAAACCAGGAGACAUUGCUUUGCUUCCAUUGGGCAUUGCGAGACUCACCUCAGGCUCUCCAUGGACAAGGACAUCAAUAUCAAGCUCUUCUUGGAGUUUGACAACCUUGUUGAUUUCCUCCUUGAUGGAAGCAACAUAUUCUUCCUCAGAAAUCCUAAAAAGGACAAAUAGUCACGGCACAGUUAAUACAGUAGUUGCAGUAAUUUCACACAUGGCAUUGAAUGAAGAAACACCUCAGAUUGACUCACUUCUUAGCCUUGUAUUCACGGCGGACUCUCCUAAGUUCAAUGGUUUGUGGGAAGGAUCCAAUUGUGGUGGUUGGGAGGAUUGGAAGAUUGAGCUUCUUCUGUUGAGCAUCUAAUCUAGCACUAACGUUUGUAGCACGUCUGUGGUCUGAUCCCCUCAAAGCAGCAGCCUAAUAGACCAAGAGGAAGGAAUCACUGUUAGCAAAAAAGGAAAUUCUAAGGGACAGCCACAUCAUAAAAAUGGAAAACAAAUCAAUCAUGCCACUUACAGCCUUUUGAACUGCCUCAUUGGUCACUCUCGGGGAGGACUUUCUUGAAGCCUGAGCUGCAGCAUUGGCAGAGAAGAAUCCCUGGAAACAAAUGAUAAGGAGAACCAAAGUUAGUCUCAUUCAUAGCAUUUUACAAAGAAGAUACAUAUGCAAUUAGUGGGCUGAUUGUGAGAGAAAAAGUCCCCAAAACUUUAAUCAAACACCAAAUGCCCAAGUUGCCAAAUGAUGUUUAAUUCGGAAAAAUAUAUUUAAAAACAUUCAAAUAUAAUUUCCCCUUCUAAAUUUUCAUUUUCAACAACAUAUUUUACAAGCCAAGCUCAACGUCAGGCCAAGAUUUUGUGCUCCUAUAAUUAUAUUUUACCAUAAAACUAGGUCCUUGAAAGGCUAAGAUUUUCUGACUCUUGUGACUAGUCAAAGCCUAAGAUUCUUUCAAUUCAUCCGUAGUAAAAGUAUACCUCAUCCUUUUGGCCAGCCAAAGCCUUGGCCAAUGCAUUGACUUCAACAACUUUCUGGGCAGCAAAUGCCAGCCAUGACUUGAUUUCGUCAUCGAGUUUGUUCUCAUUAACAAGAUCAACAGCAGUGUGAAGAAGUGAGCAGGAGGUGGAGACCACAAGCUUGUCUGCAAAGAAAAAUAAUAAAUUAUACAACAAAUCCCAUAAUAGAAUAAGAAAUAUUUAUCACAAAGAAAAAUGCAAGCAAAGGAUGUAUACCUUUGCCAACAACACCCUCAAGCCCCCGGAGAACACUAAGAGAAGCAGCAAGAUCAUUGGCCCAAAUGUUCCUUCCAUCAACCACUCCAGCAAAGAGGUACUUGCCAGCAGGGAAUCCACUCUUGAUCAAUUCAAGGGUCUUGGUUCCACGAACCAAAUCAAAUCCAUAAGCGGUGACACCCUUCAAAGAAGUGAGGGUCUGGAAUGCCUCAGCUGGAACAUCAGCAAAGUAGGUCUCAACAAGAACAUUCAAGCCAGACAGAGUUGACUCUAGUUCCGCGUAAGCCUCACUGAAUGCUUGCAAUUUGUGUGAGUCAAGAUCCGUAACAAGCAAUGGCUCAUCAAACUGAAUCCAGGAAGCACCAGCAGCCUUAAGCUCAGAAACAACUUCCCUGCAGAAGUGUUAAUUGGUACGACACGGAUUAAUGAUGCCACACGAUACACACACACACACACACACAAACACACACACACACACACACACACAGAGUUAUUUAGCACAUACACGUUUAUAAAUCUGUAAAUAGGUGAUAAUUCUUACUUGUAGAUCGGAAGGAUUUUGGGAAGAAGAGAGAGAACAGAAAAGGUCUUCUCAACCCCCCAGGCAGGCUUAGACAGCAACAAGUAUGACACAGGGCCAAUAAGCACUGGGACAGUUUCAACUCCAUGCUGCAGCAUUAGACAAGUGAUAGAUAUUAGCAUCUCACAAACUUGAUCUGACUGAUAGAAAGUUACAAGCAAGUUAAGAAUAUGUUUGAUGAAAUUUCAAUGAAAAAUCUUCAGGGUCCACAACAUGUUGACUAUACCCUUUUUAAGUAAUUUAUCUUAAGACUAUUUUGCAAACAGUAUUGCUUCCCUUUACAGAUCAAAUAAAUCAUACAACAUCUGAACGCGUUUCCUGAGCCAAAUAUAAGUUCAAAGCUCUAUAAUAAAUGUCAAUGACUCUAUAGUAAAUUCCAUCACAUUCUGAGCUAUGGAUGAGCAUAUCAUAUGCCAAUUUCAAGUUGAACGUAACCCAAUUUCAACAUAUUGUAGAUUCAAGUAUCAAACGAAAAAAAAAAUAUUGUAAAUAUAGACAGAACUGAGAACAAACACUCACCCCCUUAGCCUCCUUGUACUCAGUCACAGCCUUGUGGGAAGCGUAGGAGAACUUAACAUCGGGUCCCAAUUCAGGAACAAUGAAAUGACUGCAUCAACACGAAGCCAAACACACGCCAGCAUUCAGUACAAAACCAUUACACCAUAACUAACUUGAAAUGCCGCUCUUCCAAGUAGUGAAUACUUACUAGUUGGUGUCGAACCACUUGGUCAUUUCCAUUGCGAGAACAGAGGCGUUUCCUCUGGCCAUGGAGAAGUAAACAUCGAAUCCAAUCUCGCCGCCGUUCCAGUUAAACCUCGGGGGCACGGCACCGAGCAUUGCGGUGGUGUCGAGCACUUGGUCGUAGUAGGAGAAAGUGUUGCUGGGAAUGUAUUUGAUCCCGGCCUCGGACAUCUGUUUCCAGAUGGAGGAUCUGAGAUCAGCGGACACCUUUUGCAAAUCCUCGGCGCUGCUCUUGCCAUCCCAGAAGGAUUCCAACGCGAACUUGAGCUCCCUCUUGGGGCCCAUGCGUGGGUAACCAACGAUGUGAGACGCCAUUUUACUGUCAUAACCACGUCAUCAAUGAAUCGAAAAUCAGUCCCUUCCAUUAAAUCAAGAAAUUAUUAAUUCAAAUGAAUGGAUCACAUUGUAUAUAUAUGGGAUAAAUAUAAUUAUGAACAAAAGCGUCUAAUCAAUCACAAAAAGCAAGCGACUGCAUCAAAUUUAGGGAUCCGACCCGACCCGACCCGAUCUGUAAAUUCCGGUUUCAAUCGGAUUAAGAUGAAACCUCUAACCCGAUAUAGUUGGAUUUUGGCCAACUCGAUCGGAUCAGAUCGGAUCGGAUUAAACUUAGUCCAAUCCGAAAAAUUCAAAAAAUCAAAACUACAAUAAGUAUAAAUCUAAAUUUUCAAUUCAAUUUGAUCUAAUCUGAAUAUAUUCGAAUCGGAUCAAAUACUAUGCUCUACUUAAACUUGGAUUAUAUUUUUUUCAAUUUGAUUAACCUAAAAUUCGAUUGGAUAGAUCCAAAACUGAAUUUAUCUACCCCUCAGUCAUCAAUCAAUUACAAAACCUAAAAUCCCAUUGGAUAGAUCCGAAACUGAAUUUAUCCACCCUUAAGUCAUCAAUCAAUUACAAAGGCGACUGAUGUUUAUACAAUGGACAAUUAUUAAGUUACAGCUCUUGUAAUUUACAACUUAUACAAAAAUAUGUGAAAAAUUGUGAUAGGCAGUACAGUGUCAUGAUUUUAUACAAAAAUAUGUAAACAAUUGUGAUAGACGGUAGAACCUCAUGAUUUUACAAAAAAUACGUAAAAAGUUGGGAUAAGUAAUGGAGCCGCAUAAUUUUUUAUCAGCUGCAAGUUGCAAGUUACAGCAACUGUAACUUAGCGACCCCGACUUCAAUGUAAAAUGAGAAAGUACUCCUCCGCAUAGUACCUGAUGCUCAAAAGUCAAAUCACACGAAAUGCAAAUAGACUUAUCAGAGCAUAAAACCUUAUAUUACAUUUUGAAAAACGAUUUGAAACAAGGGCAAAAUUACAGUGUAACCGUACUUAGUCAUUGAAUUCAGCUCACAAUUAUCAUUAUAGUUGGAUCUAAUAACUAGAUCCAACUGUGUCCACAGUUAUAUUGUAGUUAGAUCUGAUAACUAAAUCCAGAUCCAGCUGUCCCCACAAUUGUCAUUAUAGUUAGAUCUAAUAAUUAGAUUCGGCUGAUUCCGCUGUGAUGUAGUACCCUGUAGUGCCAUAACUGGACAAAGAAACAAACUGAUAUAUUUUCUUUUUUGAAACAAACUGAUACUAAUCCAAGAGUUUCAGAUGAUCGGUUUUUUUUUUUUUUUUUCUAUAGUCACAUCAAUAAUUAAGUACUUUCAGUCAUUUUCGAAGGAUUAAAACGAAAACUCUAAAAAAAUUCUGAGAAUGAAUAAUCCGAAAAUAGAUUCAGAAAUAGUAACACAAGUAGAGGUCAGAUUGUUUUUUGGAAAAGAUUAAUUGCAGAUCUGAUGAACUCAAGUCUAGAUCUAGCAAAAUCACGGCAGCCAAACACUAGAUCUAAGACUAACAGUCACUCACCAGUCGAUCAGAAAGUGAAAUCAAGUUCAAAAUUAUUUUUAAGCUAAUUGUUUUUUUUUUUAAAUGAACAGAUUUUGGUUGAGUAUUAGUGAGUUUUUUACAAAUUUUUUUUUUCAGAUCUAAAAGUUCGGAAAUCAAAACCAUGCUCAAUGUUUUUCGGAAAAGAUUAAUUGCAGAUGUAUUCAAGAUCGGAUCUAGCAAAAUCACGGCAGCCAAACACUAGAUCUAAGACUAACAGUCACUUACCAGUCCAUUAGAAAAUGAAAUCAAGUUCAAAAUUCUUUUUUUUUAAUAGAUCCAAAAGCUAAUAUACAUAUAUAUAUGGCAAAAUAUAUAUACCGUACCCAACAGAGAAGGACGAGCAGAGAAAUUAAGCUUUUUUUUUAUUAUUACAGAGAAAUUGAGAGUUCGAGAGAACGAGAAAGAAGAGAGACGAGACUGUUAGAAAUUGCUGUCAGUUUAAUUUUUAUUUAUAGCCAAAAACCUAACCUUGUUUAGUGGUUACUGGUUACCGUCUUCGGCGGUGUUGAUCUGAGAUUUAUCAUUUUAAUUUCUUUCUCUUACUUAUUUAUUUAAUUUGGGUCCAACUACGGUGAAACUGUAGUACCGUGCUACAGUUAUUUUCAACCGUUUGAUUCACUUGGAUGGUGGGAUCCAAUAAAAUCCAAUGGCUGGGUGCAACCGUAGCACGGUGCCGCAGUUGCACCACAGUUUUUCCCAUUUAUUUAUUAUGCUUUCAGUGCAGUUGGCAAAAACAUGGAGCUUACGCGCGCUUUUCUGAUGUGGCGCGUGAAUUGGAAAUGUGGUAGAUCUUUGUGGAUCCGCCGGUGCAGUGAAGAGUGAAGGAAAAAAGAGAAAAGUUAUCAUGCCAGAUCAUUUGAAGAGAGCCGCAAUUAGUAAUUACACCACAAUAUAUUUCUGAUUAUUUGCUUACUUUGAUGAUGUUUUUACUGAUUAGUAAUUGGAAUAUGUUAGAAUCUAAAUAUAGUAGAAUCAUAAUAGAGUUGAAUCAAAAUAGGCUAUAAUUAGAAUGGAUAAUGGGAAUUAGAAGAAUUAUUUGCUUUAGUUGUGAGAAUCCAAAUUGGAAUGAACUAUAUUGUCUUUGAUAUGUUUACUUUAUCAUAGAAUAUGAAUGAAUUAUUACAAGUUACUAAACUGACCUUAAGUUGAAUAUUGUCAUUAUUUAUUUAUUUAUUAUUAUUAUUAUUAUCAUCAUCAUCAUCAAAAUUAUUAAUCUUAUUAUUAAUGUUAAUUAUAAUAAUUAAUAAUUAUAAUAGUAUUAUAAUAAUAAUAAUAAUAAUAAUAAUAAUAAUAAUAAUAAUAAUAAUAAUAAUAAAAGCAAUCAUAAAAUGAGAAUUUCAAGAUUUAAGUAGAGAUAAUAUAAUUAUUUUAGAAAAUGAGAAUUUCCAUGAGAAUGUGAACUCUAUUAAUCAUUCCCAAUUUGAAGUGGGGCCUGCCAUUUUGAUUCAAUCUCUCAUUUAAGCAAGUAAAUACGACAUUUAUUCUCAUUCCCUCAUUCCCACUCUCAGGUAGCGUUUGUUUUUUAACUUAAUGACUUAAAGUGACUUAACUUAAUUAAUUAAGUUAAUUAGAGGUGUUUAUUUUUAUAACUUAAUGAGACUUUUUAGAUAAUUUUGACUUAAUAAAAUGAGCCAAUUUUUUUUGGCUUUUUACUUAAUGGAGAAAUUUGAAUUUAGUCAAUUACUUACUAAUGUAAAAAAUAUCUAUGUUUUAUAAUUUAUUUUUCAUGUCUAUCCCAAAACUCACCCAUAGACAUUUACCCCACAUAAAAAUAUCCCUAUUUUUUCUUUCUUAUAUUAUAUACGAUAAAAUUUGAAAUUUAUGGUAUUUUAUAUAUUAAAAUUCUAAAAUAAUUAUGUAUUCACUUGAAUAUAGUUUUACUUAUAAAUGUUAAAAUAUUGUGGUAUUUAAUAUAUUAUUUAUUUUACAUUAAAAUUUAAUAAGGGUACAAAUGUAAAAGUACAUAUUUUCAGUUUUUUUCAGUUAAAAAAAAAGUAACUUAAUACUUAUUUUUUGAGAUUCAGACGAAAAAAUAAACAUAUUAUUCAUAUUCAGACAUUUAGAUAUAUUCAGAAUUCAAACUAAUUCAGGUCUAUUAAAAUUUUAGACAAAAAAAACAAACGCCACCUCAAUCAAUAAACACACCAUAAAUGUAGAGUUGUUACUAUUAGAAUACAUUAUAAUUCAUCACAAUUAUGAUAGGUAUAUACGUAUGUAAUAAUUUAUAUAAGAUGCUAAAUUUUGAAAAUAAUAAAAAAUUAUUUAUACAUAUUUAAAAAAAUCAUUAAUACAUUAAAAUGUGCAUCUCAUAUACAUUUACAUAAUAGCAAUGACCAUAGUAUAAAAUAAACUCCUAAAAGAGAACGACUUCCGUUAUUUAUGUUAUUUUAUAUAUUUUUAAUUGAUUAUUAAAAGGAUCAAUUGUUAAUUAUUAUUCUCCAAACAUAAUCACCGUUAAACAUUUAUUCAAUUUAACAAUAGGUAGAUGUUAAAUAAUAUUGGAAUAUUUAAUGAACAAUAUAAUCACUAUUGCAGUUUUUUUUUUUUUUAGUAAUGGAUUUUUUGAAACUCAAAUUCAUUUUUUAGCCCCCUUACCUCUCUUAAAAUUCAAAAUUAAGUGACUAACCAAAUAAAACUGCUUAAAAUCUAUACGACUACAUCUUUGGGGACCAAUUAAUAUGGAUGUUUAAAUCUUGAUUUAUUAUUAAAUCUUUGAGUUUCAACCACUAAUAACAUCAUCAUCGAUUAAUGACAAAUAAAAUAAUACAUCAUCAAAACCAUUAAACACGUCCAUCAAUAUCAAAAACAAGUAAAAAGUUUAGCAUGUAUUUCAAAUAUACUUUUCAUCCCAAAAGUUGUAGAGAAAGUCUCGAUAUCAAUGUCACUAUGAGACGUAAUUUUAUAUUUAAAGUCAGCGCAACUUAAAAAUUACUAUGAAUGAAUAAUACACCAUAAAAAAAUUAUUUAUAAGUAUUUUCAUCAUGUAUUUUUAUUUAACAAUGGUGACAUUUAUUUUUUAACUUAAUGACUUAAAGUGGCUUAACUUAAUUAAUUAAGUUAAUUUUAGGUGUUUGUUUUUAUAACUUAAUAGGACAUUUUAGAUAAUUUUGACUUAAUAAAAUAGGCCAAUUUUUUUUAACUUUUUACUUAAUAGAGAAAUUUGAAUUAAGUCAGUUACUUUCUAAUGUAAAAAAAUAUUCCUACUUUAUAAUUUAUUUUUCAUGCAUAUUAAAAAACUCACCCAUAGAUAUUUACCCCACAUAAUCUCAUCUUUAUUUUCUUCCAGCCGUCAUAGAAUCCCUCCUCACUUUGCUUCUCUCCUCUAGUUCUUGAAUCUCCCUUUAAUUUCUCGCUAGGCAAAGCACUUGAAUUGGGCUUUUUUUUUGCCUUUUCAAUUACGUUUUCCAACAUUCACUUAUAUAAUAAUCAACUAGUUGCUACUCUUUUUAGUGAUAAAAUUUGAAAUAUGGUAUUUUAUAUAUUAAAUUUUCAAAAUCAUUAUGUAUUCACUUGAAUGUAGUUUUACUUAUAAAUAUUAAAAUAUUAUGUUAUUUAAUAUAUUAUUUAUUUGACAUUCAAAUUUAAUAAGGAUAUAAAUGUAAAAGUACAUAUUUUUAAUUUUUUAAGUUGAAAAAAUAACUUAAUAUUUAUUUUCAGAUUUUCAAAUAAAAAAUAUAUUAUUUAAAUUCAAAAAUUUAAAUCUAUUCAAAAUUUAAAGUAAUUCAGGUCUAUGCAUAUUUCAAUCAUAAAAACAAAUGCCACAUGAGUCAUUCAAUUUCUAAUUAAGAGGAUAAAAAAUAGAUUUGGACUAUCCUAAGACAAAAACAAAAAUAAGAUUUCCUAAUAAGUGUACUAACGUGGUCACGCGCCUUGAGAAACGCUUGGACCUAACACACUAUUUUAAUCCGAUAUGCAAAAAAAGAAAAAAAAAAAAAGGAAAAAUUAUGAGAUGUAUAAGUUUCUAGAGACGUGUUAAAUUUUGAUGAAACAAUGAAGAAAGUCGGUGGCCGAAGUUGGUAUGGGGCAAUGCGAAUGGUGGUUGGCCCACGUUGCCCUGUAAUUGGAGUUGUUAUAAUUUUUCUUAUAAUUAAUAGGACUUGACACAGACUGCAGCAUCAGCCGUUGGAUGUGGAGUGAGAAACUAAACAAUAGAAAACCGUAUGGUGGGAUGACGGUAGAUGUUUGUUACAGAAAUUGUACCAUAGACAGGUCCUAAUUAAUAAGCUCUACGUUUUGAAACAAUAAAUAAACUCCAGAUGACCAAAAUAUCAUUUCAUACUGCUACCUAGACAUCUUGGCGAGGGUGGGUAAUGUGGGGCCAGGAGCUUGUUUGAUCGUCAAUUAUUCUCUGGUUUGGUGAAACGAAUGGACGGACGAUGGUGAUGGCUUUUAGGAGAUUAUUAUUAUUAUUAUUAUUAUUAUUAUUAUUAUUAUUAUUAUUAUUAUUAUUAUUAUUAUUACAUUGAGAUCGUAAAACAAAAAAUUCAAUUAAUAAUAUAAAAUAUUUAUUUAAGUUAUUAAUUAUUAUAUAUACACAAUAAAAAAAUUUAUAUACAUAUUUAUAAAUGUGUAAAUAAAUUUCAUUCAAUAUUAUAUCCAAUUAAUCAUUUAUAUUUUUACAGCGGUUUAAUAAUAAUAUUUACUAAAUACAUAUGAUUAUUUUUAAAAUUCACAGUAUUUUUAAAAAUAAAUUUUAUAAAAUUUUUAACUAAUUUUCUUUACAACUAACUAUUGAACGGUUUAACUAAUAGUAAUUAUUUUUAAAAUUAUAGUAUUAUCAAAUUAGUCCUAUGUCAAAUUUGUUAUUGCUGUUUUUUUUUUUAAUUAAAAAAUUACAUAGUGCAUACGUGCAUAAUAUGCCCAACUCAAAAAUUCACACAAAAUAUACUAUUUAACUUUAAGGCUUUAAUUGAAAAAAAAAAUUAAGAUUAAGAUGAAUAAAUACUAGAACAUAACAAAUAGAUAAACUCUCCCAUUCUUUAAAAAGAUUAAUUUUAUUUUAAACUUACACUUCGAAUUCAAAGUAGACAUUGAUUGAUAAAAUUAUACAAACGGAUCAAUAUUCCUACAUUUUCUUUUUAAUUUCAAAACCAACAGAUAUUGUUUGUUCAUUAUAUGACCUCCAAACAAAUAAUUUCAUUAAUAAAAUAAUAAUGAAAAGUGUCGUGAUGGGUGUAGAGUAAUUAGGUGGCUAAGUUUCUACUUUUCAUUCUAACUCUUGCGGUUGGUAGGCGCGUGGGUGGUCCACAAAACCCGUGGACGGUAGCAUUCAAACAAAGACUGGAGGCACCAGAAAAAUGUCCAAAAAGUGUGAAACCGUGACGUGUUCAACAUGUUAAUAAAUUUAGGCAAAUGUUAAAGUUACGGAGCUGGCUACGUUACAGAAACUGUACGUAACAGCCAUGCAUUUUUUAUUCGUUGGAUCUAGAGACUGAAAUUGGAUGGUUGGGAUUAAAGGCCAGAAUAGAAAUUAAUCACGGGCAACCGUUUUUAACAUUUAGAAGGGUUUAUUUUCAUGCACACCCAAAUAUUUUGACAAAUAUCAAUAUGCACCCAGUAACUUUUUAUGUAAAACCACAUAACCGACCUGUUAACUUUUCUACUAUUGAAUUAAAAAACUAUCAUGCCUCAAUUGAAUUAAAUUGAUCAGGUAAAAUAUCUCUUAUAACUUGUCAAUUUUUACAGUGAAAUAUACGAGUAUUUAGUAAAAUCAAAUUUAUUUUUUAUUCAGUAAUCAAAUUUUUUUAUUUAGUGAAAUCAAAAUUAUUUUUCUUUAGUUGUAAGAUUUUUUUAACAAAAAAAUUCUAAAAUCAAAUUUAACUCAUUUACUAUUUUAAAAAAUGAACUUUUUACUAACCAAACUAGAGUUUAUCUUUAGUCAACAUAUUUUUUUCUCUAAAAUAACCUUUGAUAGAAUUACUUAUAUAAACAUGUCAGUAUCAAAAUUACUUCAUAUUUCACCAUCCAUCAAUUUAAACUAGUGUGAAAUUUUUUUAGUUUGAUAUUGAAAAUAUGAUAGUUGAUGAGAGAAAUCUAAUUCAAAUUUACAGAUAAAAUAGUUUCUUAUAAUUGCGUACAUGGUAUAUCAAAAAUAUUUUUUUGUGAGUUUUUAAAAAAAUUGUCACAAGAUGAAAUUAUCUCUUGAUUUUUCAAUUCCUGGAAUUUAUGUAAAACAAUAAACACAAGUAAAUCUUUUGGUUUGUGACUUCUUGAAGGAAUGUUUGGGAAUGCACAAGUUCCUCUCUCCUUCAAAAAGAAUGAUAAGUGCAAAUACCAACCUAGAAAAUUGAUUUAUAAUUCAAAGAAGAUUUGAUUGAAGAUGAUUAAUUGAAAUUUAUCUUUGCAUGACGUCAAACAUUUUUCAAAAUGACUAAGUCAAGUCUCUUUGUUAAUUCAAAUCAAGAAAAAUUAGAAAAAUAUUAAUGCAUAGAAAUUCUACUAAGAGUUAUUUAUGAAAUUCUCAAACGAAUAGAAAUUAAAUUAACAUUUUUAAAUUUUAGUUAUGGGUUUAUUUUAAAAAUGGGUUUAGAAAGAAAUUUGAGGGGUUUAAAGAACCCCGCCCUUUCUUUAAUUAUUCGGUGAAUUUGAAAUAUAUUAAUAAGGUAUAAGAAUAUGUUAUUCUAAUCUUCUUAUGCAAAAUCUAUGCAAUUAAAAAAAAAUUCACCAAACGGUAUUUGUCUUUUUAUUGACAUUUAAUAAUAUUGAUGGCAAAUAUAUACAAUUAUCAAUCAAUUGUUAUCAACUAUUCAAGAUAACUGAAAAACUAAUUGCGUGAAGUUGGAGUAAUGAUUGUUUGAAUUGCCAAGAGUUUUUUUUUAAUAGAAACUAUUGCAAUUCAUAUCAUUAAAAAACUUAAAGACUACAAGUCGAAUAAAAAAUCUUUCCUUAUAAAAGAAUUUGACCAACUCAAAGUACAAUGUUAAAUCCUUGAGAUACAAUGAACCUAAAAAUCCUACUUUGACACACCACAAAUAAUGAAUCUAACUUAACAAUCAAUGGAGAUAAAUCAAUUUUACUAGCAAACUAUAAGCCAAAACACAAGGCAACGUCUUCACCAAAAUCAAUAUCAUUCAAAUAAUUCCCCUUGUGAACGCCUGAAGCUAUCAUAAAAACAACAAAAAAUAAAAAAAUAAAAACAAGUAGACAAGCAAAAAAAUUCCCCAAUAACAAGUUACCCUACAAAACUUUUCCUUGUAGAACAUACACAGAAACCGCAGCUAUAGGGCUAUCGAAACUAGGGAUGGCAAUGGGGAGGGGAGGGGAGGGGACCAAUCUCCCCAUACCCAUCCCCGAUAUUUUGCGUAUGUCCCCGUCCCCGUCAGAAUUGCUUGAGAGAAUCUCCAUCCCCUCCCCGAAUAAUAACAGGGGAUCCCCGAGGGUCCCCGGUCCCCGAAUAACUAAUAGUCUAAUACAUUUUUUUAUUUUUGAUUUUAAAUUAAUCAUAUUAAAAUAAAAAAUUCAGAUAAAAAUAAAGUUCAAAAUAUAUCUUACAUUAAUAUUGAUCCAUUACAAAGUCACAUUCAAAAUAUAAAUUAUUAAAAUAAUUAUCUUUGUCAAUGACUCAAUUUUCAUAAUCCUACAAUAAAAAGAAAACAAAUUAUUUUUAUAUCGGCUAUAAAAUAAAUGAAAUAAAUGUAGAUACUUAAUUAAUAUUUUUAAUAAAACUAUUUACCUCCUGCUCGUCCUGUUCCUCCUGUUCUUCCUCGAGAAAUGUGGCAAAUUGAGAGAUAGCCUCAGAUUUCAAACCUAAAAUAAUGAAAAUGAUAUAAGUAAAGUAACUUAUAAGUGCAAAUAUUAAUAACUGUAUAAUAUAAUUACAAUGUAAAAUAAACUCAUACUGUUAUUGUAAGCUCGUAACCAACUUUGACAGCACAUUAAGGCCUCCAAUGUGCUUGGAUGAAGUUUGUUACGGUGUGGGCUCACAACUCUACCACCGGUGCUAAAAGCUGAUUCAGAAGCAACUGUUGUAAUUGAAAUUGCCAAAAUAUCUCUAGCAAUUCGAGCUAAUGUAGGAUACCUAUUAGCAUUUAAUAAUAUAAAUAUUUUGAUAUUUAUUAUUUUUAACAAUAUUUAUAAUUUUGUUAUUUAUUUAUUAGUAAUUUUAAAAAUAAAAAUAAAAUUAAAAAUUAAAAUGGGGAAAUGGGUAGGGGAUGGGGAUUCCACCUCAUCCCGUCCCCUCUCCGAAUAAAAAAUUGGGUAAAAAAUUUUCCAUGUCCCAUCCCCAAAUAAAAAAUUGGGUAUAAAAUUAUCCGCGUACCCUCCCCGAAUGGGGAAAAUUCCCGAGGGUACCCGUCCCCUUGGGGAUUUUUGCCAUCUCUUUGGGGAUUUUUGCCAUCUCUAUCGAAACCUCUACCCACCACUAUUAGAGUUAAAAAAAUCUCUGAUAUGAGUGUAUUCUUCUAAUUUGAACUCUAACGUGAUUUUUUGAGAGAUUCAUCGGAAAAAAACCUUAAGGAGUUAAAGAAGAAAUUUAAAAAAAAAAUCAUAAAAAGAGGAAUGAAAAGAAAAAGAUGCUUUACCAAGAGUUGAUUGACAGUAAUUGGUAAAUUUGAGCAUGCAAUAAAAUUUACCCAUAUAUUCAUAUGACAUAAAAUAUAAUUUUAUUCAUUAAUUACACUACUAAUUUGUCUAAAUUUUAGUUUUUUAAAAAAUAAAUUUCUAUAUAUUUACAUAAAUCUUAGUUUUUAUAAAAAUAAAUUGAAAAAUAAAUUUAUGUUUUUAUAAAAAUAAAUUUAUGUUUAUUUUUUUACAUUGACCUGAUGUUUAAUUAAGGGCAAUAAUGUCUUUGUGCUAGUGAGAAAUGGCCAGUAAUUGAACUUAACCGCGUAGGACAACAAUUUGACUGUUUGGGGGUGGGGUUGAUGGCUUACAUCAAAGUUAGUGUGUGCUAAGGAUUAACAAUAAUAAUGGGGUAAAUAUGAAAUUAAUCCUUGCCCAAGCAUUAGAAGUUCGUCGGUUUUCUUUUAACCGGAUAAUUACCGGUGAAUAUGUCACGCGUUCCUACACGUGGCAGCAUCUAAUUUAUUCGCUUGUCAUUUCAGUUUCUGUUAGUUACAGUUUCUGUAACGUAGCUAGCUCCGUCAGGUACAGGCAUGUUGUAACUUACGUUUCUCGUAAAAAUCAUAUAAGUUCUAUUUCUACCUCUAGGGUGAGCAUGGGUUGAUUUGGAUUAAAUUUUAAGUUAAUUUAAAUUAAAUUAUAAAAAUUUGGGUGUAAUCUAAAUUAAUUUAAAUAUUUUUAACAUAACUCAUGGGUUGGUUAAAUCAAACUAUAAAAAUUUGGUCCAACUCAAAUUAACUCAAAUAUUUUCAACACAACCCAAAGCAACUCAGUUGGAUUUUAUUAAAAUUAUAAUAAUUAUUAAUUGUUUUUAAACCAACCAUUUUGGGUUUGGUUUGGAUUUUAUUAUCAAAAUAUUUUUUUAUUUUGAGAAAUUUAAUUUUAUCAAAAUUAUAAUAAUUAUUAAUUGUUAUUACUUAUUAAAUUGAUAUUAACAUAUAAAAAUUAUAAUUCAUAAAAAUUAUAAAUAACAAAUUUUACAAUAACUUAAUCCUUAAAUUAAAGAAUACUAGAAAAUUAAAAUAAAGUUUAAUCACAAAAAUCAUUAUUUAUCAAUAAAUAAGAAAAUUCUAAUAACAAACUUCUACAAGCACGAUAUCGACAAGUAAAUUCAAAGAAAGAAAGAAAGAAAAAAAAGACUAGUAGUACUAAGUAUUAACCCUAUUACAACACAAACUCUAACAAUGUCCAUACAAAUAAAAAAAAAUAAGACAUUCUAACUCAAGUGUCAAAGCAAUCCAUCAUAAUCAUUCCCAUCCGUAGUACUUUAAUCGAGAGAUUCCACGAUUAACUGACAAAAUGUAUGACAAUGAUAAUUUACAUUGAUUAUGACAUAAUAGAGAUGGAUUUGUCAAAGCCAAAUCAUUUGCUGGAAAGGAAUUUAGUUGAAGUAGGAACCAAAAUUCAACUUAGAUGGAUCUAUAAAAUUGGUCAUUCAAUACAUAAGUACUUUAUCAACAGAUUCAACACAUUAUAAAUUUAUGGAUUCAACUAAGUUACAACCAGCUGCAACUUAUUCCUCUCACAUAAACAAUAAUACAGCGGUAGGCUAUAUUAUUUACAAAAAGUACUUAUGUAUUGAAUGACCAAUUUUAUUACCUGCAAAAUUAAUUAAUCUUUCACUCUAUCAUCUAACUAAUGGAAGGCAAUCUUAUUUUAGGUUGUAAUGAUUAGAAACUAGCAGGAAGUGGGGGCGAUGCUCCAUAUUAAUUUGGAUAAAUCCCUUUCUAGUGAAGAAGUUAAAAUUAUAAAAUAGAGAUCAAGAUAGAAAUUUAAAGGCCCCGAUUGUUUUUUACAGACUUAAAAAUGAUAUUGAAAAAUUAAAAGCUAAUUUUAGUAUUUAAAAAUUACUUUAAGAAAAAUCACCCUAUCUUCCUGUAAAUUUUGAAAAGCAUGAAAAGAGUAGUUUUUCAAAAAUUGAUUUCGAAAAUUAGUUUCAUACUUAAUACAAUUCCAUAUAUCCUAACAUUUACUAUAAAAAUUCAAAUUAUCCUUAUUAAAUUAGGAAAUAAAGUCAGUACAUUUAAAUAAGAGUGAUGAUAUAGACACAAACUCUUGUACAAACUGACGUAGCAUUAAUUUAUUGGUUAAAUGAAAAUAUAAAAUAAUAUAAAUAAAUCAUGUGGGCCAAUAAAUAUUUAAUUCAACCAAUUUUAUCAUGUCACAUUAAUUUGUACAAAAUAAGUUUGUAUAAGAGUUUGUGGCUAUAUCAUUACUCUUUAAAUAAAUUAUUAUUCUACCAAUUAUAUUGAGAUAACGAAAAAAUACAAUUACUAAAAUAAAAAUAAAUUUAUAUAUAUAUAUAUAUAUAUAUAUAUAUAUAUAUAUAUAUAUAUAUAUAUAUAUAUAUAUAUAUAUUUACAUACAUAAAAUGUGAUUAUAUACACAUAUUUAUAAUUGAAUAUGUACAUAAAUUCUGUAGAUUUAUGUCUAUCUAUACAUUUGCAUUCUUACCACAUUUUAAAAGUGUGAUUUACCAAAUACAUGGGACUUAUUUGAAAUUUAUAGCACUUUUAUAAAUAAAAUUUAUCAAACGUUAAACAGAUUCUCUAUUUUCGCAUAUAUAUCCUCAUGUAAAUUAUAAAAAUUCAAAAUUAUCUUUAUUCAAUUAGGAAAUUAAAUCAUUAUUUUUAAAGAGAUUCUUAUUAUUACUAAUUAGAUUCAAAUAACCAAAAAAAUACAAUCAAUAAAAUAAAAAUAUUUAUUUUAGUUAUCAUUUAUUAUAUACACAUAUUUAUAAAUGCAUGUGUAAAUAAAAUUUUAUAGAUUUAUGUCUAUUUAAGUUAUUUGCAUUCUUACAACAUUUAAAAAAUGAGAUUUACUAAACACAUGUGAUUGUUUUUAAAAAAGUUACAACACUUUUAAAAAUAAAAUUUAACAAAUGUUUAAUUGACUCUCUCCAAAGCUAAUUGUUUUUACAGUAUAGCUAAAGUAAUUUAUAAAUUUAUGAUAAGUAUUUGUGAAUAUUGGUCUAUGUAAAGAAGUAAAAACAACAUAUAUAUUAAGCAGCAUGAUAUUAAAACUCUUAGUAAAAUACAUAUACUAAUAAAAGAAAGACAACAAUGCAAUAAAUAAGCUUAUAAUAUAAAUUAUUAAAAUUGUAUAUUAAAAAAUUAUGCAUGAAAUUCUUUUUCUAUUUUGGUGAUAGAGAAUGCGAUAUAAUUGAAUUAUUUGAUUUAAUAAAAAAAAAUAUGACUGAAGGAAAUUAACAAUUGAAUUGUGGAAUGUUAUUAAUUGUUAUUGUAUCAUUUUGCAACGUUCUAAUAAUAUGGACAAUGUUACAGUAUAUUGAUGGGCGGUAAUAUUUUCACCUCUUAAAUUGUGUAAAGUCAGCUCCAUUUAAAAAAAUUAUAUAUAAAAAAGCCCAUUAGUUUUAAUAGUUUCAAAUUAAGAUUAAAUGCAAAUAAUUAACCAAUUAAAUCCUUAUUAAUAAGAUCAUUGAGCUUUAAUUAAACUAAUAAAAUGCAUUUGAUAAAUGAAAUUUACGAUAUUUAAUUACAUGAAAUUUAUUGACUACAUGAAUAAUAUAAUUGUUCAGCUGUUUAAACUUUUUCCCUAUUUAAAUUUUAAAAAACAAUGUGAAAUUUUGUAAAUAGUUCUUUGAAAUGGGGUGGAUUUACACCAUUUGUGCAGUGCAAAUAUCCUAAUUCUAACAUUUUUUUUUUAAAAAAAAAGACCAAAUCAUAACAUUUUUUGUAUACUAAGUUAAAGUAGUACUAACAUUAUAGCCCCCUAAUGAUUUCAAUUCAUUCAAUGAAUAUAUAAUUUAAGCAUGUUAUAAACUAAGUCUCUAAAUCGAAUUAAAAAAAGAAAAAAGAGCUUAAUUGCUGACAUAGUUGAAAAUAAAAUAAAAAAUUUUAUUAUUAGAUGAAAAAUUAUGAAACUUAAGGGGUAUGAGCGAGUCGGCAGCUGCUCACCAGGGCAUAUGUAAUAUUUGUUAAUACAUUUCAAAAUUUAGGUUUUUUAAUAAUAUUUUCAAUACAUUUUCUAGAAGGUUUAGAAAAAAAAAAAAUGACUCAAUACUUUAAUCGAGCUAUGAAUAAACUCAUGUGUUAAAAAAUUUCAUAUUUACACCCAAUAAGAUUAAUUAAUGGGUGAUACAAAUUUAAGAUAGUUAAUAAUAAUAUAUAUCAUCUUAAGUUAACUUCAACUCAUUAACCUUGUAUAAGGUUUGAUGGGUCGUGCCGCAAAUUAUCACCUCUAAUCCUUUUUGCAACAGGCAUGAUGAAUGCUAACAAAAUGAAACUUCUAUAUAUUUAGUUGUUAUUCUUUUUAAUGAAAUAAUAAGGAGCUUUGCUGCAAAUUUCCAUCCAGCAUGGCAUGGACGCACGUGAAAUUUGCUAGUAUGGCCCUGGACAUGCGUGGCUGAGAUGCUUCUAAAAGCAAAGAAUUCCAAGUUCAUACCAAAUAUAACUUUCUGAUAUUUUUGUGGUAUCAAGUUUGUUUUUCACAAACUAAGGUGUCGGCAUAAAGUUGUUGUCCAUGCAAUGAAGUUUUAUACAUAAAUAUAUUAACCUAAAUUGUUACUAAAGUUCCAUAAUUAGCAGUUCCUGAGAGUUUUUACUAUAUUUUUUUUUUUGUUUUAAUUCAACAUAUGUUUAUUUAAUACGAUUUUAUUAAAUAAAUGUGCAUAUUUACCAUAUUUGUCCACGAUCAAUUAGUUGGAAAAAAAAAAAGAAAAUUAAUAAAUUUAUUUAUUUGAUUGUUAAUGGUGUAGGCAUUGAAUUCCCACAAAGUCAGGGUGUCAGCUCUGGACUUCUGGUGAUGUAUUUUUCUAAUAAAGAAAUAAAAUAUUGUUGUCAUUUUUUUAAUAUUCUAAUUUACCAAGCCUACCAACCAAUUAAUUUUUCUAAUUAGAUCAUUAAUUCAUUACACGUGCAUUCGCUGGCCCAGUGCUCCAAUCCCAUGCAUGCUGCACAACUCAAUGUCUUUUAGGGUCCGCUUAAAAUACAGCUGCUGUAUCUCGUACAGCUGCUUUUUUCUAUUUUUUUAAUUCAGCACGUAACCGGCCACCGGUACCAUCGUUUUAAUUGGUUAAAGAGGCCAAAAUUAAAAGGUAACUAUCACACAGAUCCCUCAUUUUAGGUAAAUAUUAAGAAAAUCAAUUCCAAAUUAUUAAACUAUCAAAGACCCCCUCAACUUUAAAAAAUGAAAAUAUUUCUUUUUUCUUUUAAUUCAUGGAAAAUAUAGUUAAUAUAUUUAACCUAUGUACUAAUGAAAAAAUAUAAUUAAAUAAUUAGAAUACUAUAUUUAAAAAUAUAAUUAUAUUAUUUUUUUAAUAUUAUGUUAUAAAUUAAAUGAUAUUUUAAUUUAAAAAACGUAACUUAUGUACUAAUGAGAAUAAUAUUUAAAUAUAAUAAAUUAAAAUAAAUUAUAUAUUAAUUAAGCUAUUUUUAUUAUUAUGUUAUAAAUGUAAUGAUAUUUUGCUUAAGAAACUAUCAAAACAAUUUUAUCAUCUUUAAUUGCAUUACAAUCUAAAUAUCUAAACAUAUAAUGAAAUCAACUUAUUUCUAAAUAUUUGGAAGAAAUCAAUCUUACUAUCUCAUGAUACACAUAUAGGGAUUUAAAUCUCUACCUACUAAAAUGAGGGUAAUGUUCAUCCAACUAUCGAAUUAUUAUGAUUCCAAACAUGUAAUUACCCCUCAAAUAUUGUUGUUGUUAUUAUUAGAGGCUAACAUUAAUAUGUUUUAUAUAUACCACAAAUAUAAAGUAUCUAAUAUUUGAUAUUUUUAAAUAAAACUCACAAACAAUCUUUUAUGCAAAUUAAUUCAUACAAACUUAUGUAAAAUUAAUUACUUUAUUUAAUCUUUUUUGUUAUAAUAAUUUUUUUUAAACAUUAAUCAAAUUCAUAAUGGUACAUGACAUGGAUAAUUACAAUUUAAAUGAAACUAAUAUUGAAUAAUGUUAUAUUAUAUUGUACUUACAGUUAUAUAAUUUAAGCAUGGCAAUUAUAUUUCUAAAUUAAAUCAAAUUAUUUGAGUAAUACUGCACUCACUAGAUAGUUACAUGAUUUGUAAUUAUCUUUUUUAUUAAUUUGAAAACUUUCAUAUUUUUUUCCAAUUUCUACUAAUAAUAUAAAUACUCACAUUAUGACAUUUCUUUGGAAACCCUAGCCGCUCUCCUUAAACCAUCAAAGACGCUCACUCACGUCAAACCCUCACAAGCCAACAAGCGAGCAGUUGCCGCCGUCUUCAUUCCUACGCCCAUUACGGUCCUAUGUAUCAGCAUUUGAAAUUUUGAAUAUUGUUUAUUGCUUCGCAGAAUUAUUUUCUAAUAUCAUUUGGUUGUCUUUUAUACAUGCAGAGACCCUUAUGAUCUAACAACAUCUGAAAUCUAGCUUUUGAAAAUUGUAAAUUGAUUUAGUUUUGUAUUGGUUUUAUUUGAUGCUAAAAGUUUUUAAAAUUAUUUUCCCGCAAGCUUGUAAAAAGUUCUCAUAUACCUAUUUGGAUGAAUGGAAUUUUUUAUUUGAUUAAUAUUUUUAUGCACUGGAUAAAUUAAUAGGGCAUUGUAAUUUCAUUUACAAACAAAUGCCAACAAACCAUUUAAAAAAUAAUAAAAAUACGCCAAAAUUAUAAUCUUAUGUUAUAACUGCUGGGUUAUAUUUUUUUAAUGCCAUAUUAGUCAUGAUAAAAAUUAAAGAACUCUUUUAGUUGAGUCCUAAAUAAUUGUAUUUCUAGUUAAGUCCUAAAAAUUGAAUAACUUAUUUUGGUAAAUGGAAAAUUAUAGGGAUAUUUAAACGAGAAUGAUACUCAAUUAAAAAAAAUAAUGUUAAAAAUUAUAAGUUUUUGAAUGGACUAAUGCUAUAUAGUUGAGUAAUGAACAAGAAUUGGCUACCAUCUAAUUCGGUUGUAAAUGAACUUAAUUUUUGUUUAAUUCAUCCUCCAAUUGAGCAAUUCUCUUUAACUUCUUUUAAUCUAUAAAUUGAGUUCUUAUUCUACAGGUAUUCUAUGAUUUCUCCAUCUUCAAAGAGCAAGCAAGCAUUGAAAAGUUGAAAUGAGAGAUUUUUGUGUAUUAUUUUUUACUUUUUAGUAUAUCUAAAGGUUCAAUUGUACUCUUGGAAUUUGAGUGAAAUUAUUAAUGUGAAACUCCAUUAUUAAGUGCAGACCAAAAUCGUAUCAGUGAAUGUUGUUUCUUAUACCAUAGUGUUAUGUUGUAACACCAUAUUAGUUGGAAUAUCCAUCCAAAUAUAUUAAGCUUUUAAAAAUAAUUUUAGCUACUAAGAUCAUUUUUGUUUAAGUCGUGAAAAAUGAUUAACUUAUUUUGUUUGUACAAGGGAUAAUAAAACUUAUGAUCAUAUCUCCUGAAGUAAUGAAUAUUGAUAUUGAAUAAAUAAAGAUACUUUCAUUAUUGGUUAUUAAUUUUUAUGACCUAUAAAAAUGUAUUGCAAUUCGGAGUAAUAAAACAAUAGUUUAAAAAUAAAAGUCGACAUUAUUGUUAAAUUGCGGUGUUGAAUUUACCUAUUAGAGAAAAAUAUCCUUUCAAUAUUUAAUUUAGGAAGAAAAAUUAAUGUUUAAUAUAUUUUCUUCUUUCUUGAUUGCAUUGAUUUUUUUAUUUUUUUAUUUUACAAAAUAUUGUUGAAUUUGAAUUGUGUUUACUGUGUUUAAAGCAUUAAUUAAAGAUAAAUAAAUUGUGGCUUAGUAGAAUUGGAUCAAUGUAAUACAAAUUUACAAAAUUUUCAAUUUUAAUAUAAAAGUUAAUUUUCACAGUUCAUGGGAUAAUCAUAAAAUAAAUAAACAAAUUUUGGUAUAGUAAUAAAUAUGAAAUGGUAUGGUAUAAAGUGUUGCUACUAUAGUAAUAAAUGUUCAUAACCAUAUUAGUCAUAAUAAACUCUUAAAAAUUAUUUUAUUUAAGUCUUGAAAAUUUAAGAACUUAUUUUAUAAAUUAAAAAUUAUAUCCAUACUUAAAAAUGAAAAAGAAGGAUACUCAUUAUUAAAAAAAAAUUGUUAACAAAUCUCAUGGGGCAAGAUAGUAAUAAUAAUAAUUUUAGUAAGAGUACAAAAAAAAUAAUAGUGAUAAUAAUACAAGUAUAAUAUAUUAAUAUUUAUAAUUAAUAGCAUAAAUUUUUGGUUGAAGUAAUAAGAAAUUAAGAAAAAUAAUUUGAAAAGAAAACAGUGGUAAAAAUUUAAUUUGAAUUAAAAAAUCUUAAUUCUUGAUUUAUUUUAGUUUAAAGAUAAAUAAAUAUAAUUAAUUGAAUUAUAAAAUGGGCAUAACAUUUAUAAAACUCAAAAGUUAAGUAUAAAUAAUUUCAAGUUCAAGAAAUCUCCUGAAGUCAAUUGAUCCCAAAAAAAGAAAAAAGAAAAUUCAACACAAAUAGAUUAAGAAAGUUUCAAGUUUUGUUAGCUUAAAUAGUUUUUAUAACUUAUGCCAUCAUAAUUUUUAAAAAUAAUUUUUUGGAGAAGCAUAGCAAUUGCAUGCGCUCUUACAUGUUAUUUUUUAUUUACUGUUGAAGUUUUGAAAAAUUAAAGAAAUUAUUUUAAAAAGUAAAGAGAGAGAUGAAAAUAAAUGCAUUAAUUUAUUUUAACAAUAACUAAAAAUAAUCAACUAAAAUGAUAAAAUGAGAAUAAAUAUGUAUAGAGACAAAAAGCUCAAGUAUAUAUACAAUCAAGUUCAAGAGAUAUCAUGAUAUAUAUAAAAGGGAAUUAGGUUAAGGACCCAAAAUAUUGGAAAAGAUUAAGGGUUACAAUAAAUGUUUUUCAGUAUUAUAUGGUAAGUUGAUAUUUUAUAAAAUAGUAAGGGUUCAAACAUAAUUCAACUUAUUAAAAUUAUUGUUUCCGGUAAUACAAGUAAUUUUGAUAUUUAACAUAAAUAACUGAAAUUUCACCAAAUUAAUUGGAAUAUUGAACGCAAAAUUAGUGAAAUAAUAGUUGAAACAUAUAAAAGUAAAUAUGAGAAAAUAUAACCCAAAUUAGGAACCUACUUAACCAAAAAUAAAAUUACGAAAAAUAAAUUCGGUACUUAACCCAAAUAAUUGGAAUCUAUUCAAGUUAAUGGGAAUAUUCAACACAAAACUAGAGGAAUAAUUAGAUGAAAUAUUUGAACCAAUAAGCUAGAAAAUCUAACGAAAAUUAGGAACUCAUCCAACAGGAAAUGAAAAUUACUUGGAAUCUAACCCAAAAUAUUGGUAUUGAACGAACUUAGUAGGAAUACCUAACACAAAACUAGUGGACUAAUAAUUUGAAACAUGUGAACCUAAAUAUUAAAAAGCUUAACCAAAAUUGGGAACUAAUUUAACAAAAAAAAUUAUUUCGGUAUUUAACCCAAAUAAAUGAAAUCUUAUCAAAUUAAUUGGAAUAUUGAACACAAAACUAGUGGAAUAAUAAUUGAAACGUAUAAACCCACAAGGAAGAAAGUGUAACCAAAAUUAGGAACAUACUUAACCAAAAAUAAAAUUACGAAAAAUAAAUUCGGUACUUAACCCAAAUAAUUGGAAUCUAUCUAAGUUAAUGGGAAUAUUCAACACAAAACUAGAGGAAUAAUUAGAUGAAACAUUUGAACCAAUAAGCGAGAAAAUCUAACGAAAAUUAGGAACUCAUCCAACGGGAAAUGAAAAUUACUUAGAAUCUAACCCAAAAUAUUGGUAUUGAACGAACUUAGUAGGAAUACCUAACACAAAACUAGUGGACUAAUAAUUUGAAACAUGUGAACCUAAAUAUGAAAAAGCUUAACCAAAAUUGAGAACUAGUUUAACAAAAAAAAAUUAUUUCGGUAUUUAACCCAAAUAAAUGAAAUCUUACCAAGCGAAUUGAAAUAUUGAACAUAAAAUUUGUGAAAUAAUAGUUGAAACAUAUAAACCAAAAAGGGAGAAAGUGUAACUAAAUUUAGGAACUUAUUUAACGAGAAAUGAAUUUACUUGGAAUCUAACCUAAAAAAUUUGUAUUUAACGAAUUUAGUAGGAAUAUUAUACAUAAAACUAGCGGAUUGAGAAGUGGAAACAAAUAAACCAAUUAUUGAGAAAGUUUAACGAAAAUUAGGGACAUGUGAAAUUAAUUUGAAACGUCUACCUAAUAUAUUGAUAUUUAACCAAAAAAAUUGGAACAUGAUUAUUUUACUCUUUUUUUAACUUUUUUUUAAAUUAAAAAUAUUUUUCUCACUCAAAUCUUUUUAAUAUUAAUUGUUUAUAAAUUUCCUUAUUUUUUUCACAUUAAAAAUAAAUUUUUUAAAAAUUAUUAGAUGAACAACCGGUAAAAUACCGGUUGUUCAAGUUUUUUUUCACUGUUGAAGCAGCUGUAUUACAUACAGCGCGGUACUAUAUGAUGACUCUGUGUUUUAAUAAGAAAAGGUUUGGUUAGCCUGUGCUGAUGCCAGAAGCCCCUUAAGGAGUUCAGGUAAACGUAAAUAUGUCCAGAUUUAGAUUUGAAUAUGUAAACGUAAAUAGGUCCAGAUUCAGAUUCGUUGCGCUAGAGAGGGGCACGCACGAUCGGGCUGCUGUCAGGUGGUACGUUGGCGUGGCAAUUCUCAACACGCGCUUCUCCUGGUGCCUACUUACGGCAAGUUGACACGUGACCCGUGUGGAUUGAGUGGACAGAGUCACGGGCACUGAUUUUUGUCAUCCAUAACGACUAACGUCGGAGACUUCGAGAAGAAAGAAAUUGUUGUCGUUUCUAAGGGGAAAAAAAUAUUUAAUUUGUUGAAUUAACGUCGGAGAUUUUUUUUUUUUUUUUUAAUUUUGCAAUCUAAACCAGUCUAAUCAAAAUGUCAAUUUGACAAAAGUUGGACUGAUUUAGAUUAGUUCUAUUAGUUUGAUUGGAUUAAAUUGAAUUAGAUCUUGAACAUCCUAACACUUUUCAUGAAUGUUUUCCUUUUUUAAAAAAAAAAAUUAAUAAGGAGAAUUCCCAUGAAUGUUAAUUUUAUUGAUAAACUUGGCAAUUUUAAGAAAUGUUUUGACGCACGAAUAAUGCAAUUCAUCAACCCACAUAGAUAUGGAUAUAGGAAGCAGAGACCAGAUCGAUCUUGACAUAACGAAAACUUGUAUGUGUAUAUGUAUGUUACAGACCAGAUCGAUCUGUAGCAUAGACUUCUCCUAUAUGUAGGUUAUAUUCAAAUUACAAAAUGAACACAUGUUAAGGAUCUACAACUUCUUCUUUAAUCUAAUAAGCUCCCUCAACUUUAUUCCAAAACAAAAAAGAAUCAAAUUUUUGUUGGAAAUAUUUAUGAAUGAAGAAGCAAAAAGCGCUUGUAUCAAGGAUCUAAUUAAAGAACUGCCAGAGGCAUAGAUCUAUCAAAGCUCCCUCGCAUGACUCUUGGUCUCGGUGGCUUCUUCUUCUUCAUUCCGAAUUUUCCCUCAAUCUGAUCUCUUCCAACCUUUCCAUUUCCAAAUUGAAUUGAAACUUGCCUCAUAUUCGUUUGUUGAAUCCCAUCUUUUGUUGCACCACCAUGCAUCAAAAUCCUUGAAAUCCCAGCAUAAUGCAAGGACUCAGCUAUUUGCAAUGGGGUCACGUUCUUACUUGUCCUUGCCUCAACAUCAGCUCCCUUCUUCACAAGCAAUUCAGUCACAUCUGUGUGGCCAGAUUCCACCGCACAAUGCAAAGCUGUGUACCCAUCUUCAUCUUUAGCAUCAACAUCAAUCCCUUUAUCAAUCAGAAUCCUCACAACCUCAAUCUUUCCCUUAAACGAAGCCCUAUGCAAAGCAGUCCAUCCAUGUAGGUCUUUCCCAUUGAUCGCGGCGCCUGCUUCGAUCAACCUCUGCAUUGUCCUCACUUCCCCUUUCCUAGCGGCAAUACACAGGCUGUCACCAAGCUUCAACGCGUCAAAGAGACGGGAAUGACCGCACUCAGCAGCAACAUCAUAAGCAGUCUUUCCGCUCUUGUUUCUAAUAUAUUUAUUAGCACCCUUCUGCAAUAACAGCUUCACCAUUUGCUCAUAUCCCAAGCUUGCGGCGAUAUGCAAAGGCGUGUCACCGUCUCUAUCGUUGCGUAUAUCAGGCCUUGCUCCGUUUGCUAACAGAAGUCUCGCGCAAUCUCUUCUUCUGUCUUCAACCGCGAGAUGCAGAGCUGUGUUACCAUCUUUUGUUAAAGCAUUAACAUUAGCACCUUUGAUUAAGAGAAGCUUUAGUACUUCCAAAUGGCCGCCUCGUAAGGCCAAGUGUAUUGGCCCCCAUGUUGAUGUUCCUGAUCUUUCUGUGCUGGCUUUCCUUGCCAACAAGAGCUCAACAAUAAGUGCUUCCCCUGCAGCAGCCGCGGCUUCAAGUGGAGUACUGCAGCCACACCUGCCUUGAGACUCAACAUCCGGCCCAAACUCAAGCAAAAGUUGAACAAUAUCAGGCCUCCUUUGAGCUAUAGCAAUAUGAAGCAACGUUUGUCCCUGCGCAUCGGCAGAAUCAGCCGGGUUCCAAGCCGGGUCACUCCGCUCAAGAACCUCUCUUAAUUCAUCCAUUUCACCAUCCUUAACAAGCAGAACCAAAACAGGAGACCCAACGAACAUGAUCUUGAUUCCGCUGUCGAUGAACACUUGCUUCUUCCUCGUUGUGAACCAGUCACUGGGGACGGAAUCAAGCGUCGACGUUGCAUCUUUAAUUCCAGCUCCAGGAACAACAACGCUGUGCAAGAGGAAGGAAUCAUCACAGUGAGGGAAAGAAUCAGGAAGAACCGAUCCUGGAGGGAGAUGAUACGCAAUCUCUACGCUUAGUGUUGCGAGUGGUGAUAUGAUUCCUGAUUGCGGCUUCACAGUAUAACGAGCCUUGUUUGUAGGCUGAAUCCUGAAAGCAACAGGCAUCGUGUGCAUGACAUUGCGGAGAGUCAGCUCCCCGGAACAUUUCUGCCCUGGUUCAAUUCUGAUAGCUACAAGGUUCGACGGCUCCAAGCUUACAAGCCUAUCCAUUGAUUAAUUUUCUCUCCGUUUCCCAAGAACUACUGAAAGGGGUUCUUUGAACUUUUUGAUUCAGGCUUAUUUUCUUCACUUUUGGUGGCAUGGGGAGGAAUUAGAGGAGUAACUGUAAGAGCUGCAAGUGUUGGUGUAAUCAACUGUAAUAUAAGGAGAAGAGAGGCCGGCUCUAAUGGGAGACUGCCACGUGGUGGUGUUAAAAACAAUGAGACUUGUUCUGUUCGGCGUCCGGAGUGUAUAUACAGUUGUGUUAGUGGUGAAAGUUAAAGAAAUCCUGAAGUUCUUUUCGGAGUGGCUUCUGCAAAGUCACUUUCAGGAUUGUAUUGUAUCAUUAAAAAACAAAGCCAGUUUUUGUUGUUCUAGUAAAAGGCGAAUCAUUGGACAAACUCGUAAGAAUAUGUUGCCAAAUGUAUAAAAUAUGAAAUUCAAACAAUGAUUACAAUGUGAAAUUGGACAAUGGACAUGGCCUGUGUGAAUUGUUUUGUGGGCUUACUAAUUAAAUUAAUUCACUAAAAAUAAUGUCACUUUUGUGUCUGUGAAGAAGCCGAAAUGGCACAGUCAUUUACGUGGCCAACUACGGUGACUACUUCGUCAGUAGCUGCUCGAGCACUUGGUCAGCACAAGUUGCUUUCUUUCUUGGCGGGAUUAGUUUUUCUUCAUUGCUUUAAGUGGUGCAUUUCUGCAGUUUCAUUUUGCUUUGCUUAUGCUAUUGGAUUUGUGCCCCAUAAAUAAAUAUAUAAUUAAGCGGAAAAGUAUCAAAUUUUGAAAAAGCUUAGGUUUUUUGUGUGUGUGUGUGUGUGUGUGUGUUUUAAGCCGAAUUACUCGGCUAAAAAUUAAUCCGAUUAUUAUUGUUUUGGUGCUUAAGAUGUGACUCUAACCUAAAGCUCAUUUGAACUCUCUUGAUGCUCAUAUGGUAUUUUUUGUGUUGUGUCGUGCUGGCCCUUACACAUCUCGGCUCAUAUUUUUCAUGUUACUAAGUUCUAAUAUGUACAAAAGAAAUAGAGUAAUGUCCGGUGGUAGAUCCAAACACUCAAUUUGGGGUGCUUAUUUUUCAGUCUCAAAUUCGAUUAUUUUCUUUUAAAAUUUUAAAAUAAUAGUAAUAAAAUACUUAUUUUAAAUACUGAGCUCAUUACAACCACAUAUGUAAAAGUAUCAUUUAUAUUUUUUUUCUAAAUAAUCUUCACAAAAUAUUUUAAAAAAUAAAAUUAUGUGACUAUGGGGAUUUGAACCAAGUCUCUCAAACUACUAAAUAACACUUUUACCACUAAAUUACAAAUUUUUUAACAUAUUAAAAGUGCAUCCAAAUUAUUAUUAUUACUUAAUUAUUUCAUAAGAGAUUUGGGGCACAUUUAAAAGAAAAAAAAUUAAUGGUGCAUAAAGGACUAAAGCCUCUCUUGAGUCCUUGACCUUAACUAGGUCCACCCAUCGUAAUGUCAGUGAUACAUAACUUGAAAAAUAUACAAGAAACUUGGAAAUUUAAAUUAAUGAAUAAAUAAAUAAAUAAAAGGAAACUUAGUGAUUGUAGCUGUUGUAUUGAAUUGUGGAUCAAAGAAUUACAAGUUCUUGGUUUCUCGGUAUUGGCUAAUUUUGAAGUUAAAUGAAGUUCGAAAAUAUUUACAACCAAUAAAAUUAUCAACUGAAUGAGACAAGGAAAGAGUAUAAAGACCUUAGCAAAUUAGCAAUCCUUCUUUAAUUUAGUAACAGUGACGCUUAUAAAGUUAGAAGACGUAUCAAAUCUAAUUUAGAUUUUGCCCCAUAAAACUAAUUUAACUUAUAGCGCGUCUUUGUUUAAUUAGUAAAUAUUCCACAAAAUCUGAUCAGCACUUUAUAGGAAAUUCCAAACAAGUUUAUAUUCACAAGGAAUAUGUCAAGGAGAAAUGAGAAUAAAAAAAUGUAGAAACUAAUAAAGCUUCAUUAAUUAGAAUUUAUAACCAUAUGUGCUCUUAUACUACUUUUAUUAUUAAGAAUUUGUCAUGAAAAUUUGAAACACUGAAGUAGAAGGUAGUUGAUUAUCAUGAAAUUACAAAAUUGUAAACGGAUUUGUUCUUUUGGAAAAAGAAAAAAAAAAAAAAAAGGAAGGAUAGUUGAUUACUUGAUUAGUGAGAAAUCAUACGUAUAAAGGACAAAUUGAAAAAUGGGACCUGAAUUGCAACAAAGCUUCAUUGGAAUUAACUGCCGAUAAAAUUAAAUUAGUAUCACCCUACCCUUUCAUCUUAAUAUAUUCGAAAUUUCACCGAUCAAUGUUUCUAGCUUCGAUUUUUACGAUCUCUCAUCCUAAUAACACCAAAAGCAUAUUCAUUCGUUUGUAAGAUUAUGUAACAAAAUAUAGUAAAUAGCCUAUAAUUUUUUUGUUUUACUACUAACCUGUUAUUAUUCUUUUCUAAUAAUACAUGUUAAAAUAUUCACAGAAAAAAUUUAUCCCUAUUACACCCAACCACCUUUUUUUGUGUUUUUUUUGUUCAAAUUUUAGCAUUAAAGGGACAAUAAUGUCCUAUGAAAUAUGCAGAAAGACAGUUAAUAAUAUUCAAAAAUGUAAGUGGAGGUAUCCUAGGACACACACAAAUUACACGAGUCUCAUUAAUGUGUUAUUGUUGUUACGUGUGGCGUAAGUUAUAGUUGAAUGUCAUAUUCAAAAAAGUAAGUGGAGGUAUCAAUCUCCCUAAAUAAAUAAUUUAUGGAAGGUUGUUAGCUGUUGUACUUUUAGUUAAUUUUAAAAUCACAAUAAUAUGGCUAAUGUUAAGUUACAUGCAUGUAACUUAGGAGGAUCUCAAUAAUAUACCAUAUUUUAUUAAUAUGUACAGUAUUUAUAAUAUUUAAAAAUUAAGGAAUUAAUGUACGCAUGUAAAAGCUGCAUUGGAGCCAGUUGGAAAUCUUACUGUCUUGAUAUAUGCAACGAUUGUAGCAGCUAAAAAAGCAUGAUAUUUACUUAAUAUUAUUUCAAACAAUAAUUAUUUAUUUAAAGCAAAUAAUAAUAAUGAGGGCAGAAGGACUAUUCUAGGAUCAAUAUGGUGACAGUAUAAAUAAAUAAUAUUAAUUAUUAAUGCAUUGAUGAGUAUUGUUAAAAUGACAUAAUAGGUUUGUUUCAUUGAAUUGAACCUUUUCUCUUAAAAUAGCUAUAAUUUGUUCUCUCUCUCUCUCUCUGUGUUUUUGUUUUUGUUUUUCACUUUAGUUUUACUUCUCUUAAAAAACAAAAAAAAAAACAAAAUUAAUGGAAACUGAUGAUGGGAAGACGGACAAUUUUCUAUAUUGUUAAAUAGAAAUGGGCACAAAUGUGAGUUUUUUGGGGCAAAAAAAUAUAGUCAAUGUACGUAGCGUUUGUCUAUUUGAAAACCCGUCAAUAUAAAAACAGGACGUAAAGCUUUCAGACAAAGUACUCUUAUGGCCGUACUUUCCAUAAACCAAAUCAAAAGAAGGAAAAUAUUUGUGUCUGGCUUCGAUGCGACUGUUAACAUUCACAAAUAAACACCUUUGCAUGGUCAGAAAAAUUAACAAGAAAUUAGAAGGCGAUGUUGCGUUCUACUCAGUUCUCUAGGAUUUGUGUAAUUUGUUUAUGCUACGGUUCGUUCCCAUUUGCAUUGCGUGGAAUAAUUGGCCGAAUAUUAUUAAUCUCAAUCUUAAUCUCAACUCUUGUCCCUUUAAUUUUUGUUUGUAUCUUUUUCUUUUUUUUUUUAAAUAUCACAUACAAUGCUUUUAAUAAAUAACUUCAUAGAAAUAUUUAAUAAAAUCCAACAUAUAUAAGUUCAAGAAACUCAAAAAAUAAAAGAAAAUAAACUCACGUUGUCACUGGAGAGACUCAAACAUGCUACCUUAAAAUUAAGUAGAGGGUGCAACUACUUGCACUUAAAAAAAAAAAAAGAAGAAAAAAGGGGCUUUGAACGCUCGUGAUAAUUUGCAAGUUAUGGAGGAUAAUCAUUGUACAAUGGGGAGAACUCUUAUGGAACAAUAUUCAAACUGAUAUUGAAAGCAUAUAAGAAUUUGGCUUGGGUGUUUUGGUGCCAUGAAUGAGUGCAGAAACAAAGAGGAAGCUUUGUCCCUUUAAUUUGAUCUGCUGUAUUAUAAUUAUUGAGAUUAAUCAAAUAAAUAACCGAAACAUGGUUACAGUUUUAUAGUGUAUUGCAAGUCUUUGGAGAUACUAUGUACCUCAAAAAAAAUAUCGUAUAAAAGAGUGUUUUGUUUUACAGGGGUUCAAUAAGAUUUGAGACGCGUGUAAUGUAAGUGAUGUAAAUUUUUUGGACUCUAAUGAGGUGUUUUUAGAUGGAGGGGGAUUUGCAAGUAUUUCAUAGGGGUGAUAAGUGACUGUAUACCCACCAAAAAGGCCCAUUGUUCGAGUUCAUGAGCAUUACAGUUUUUUUUUUUUUUUUUUUUUUUGAAAUUCAGAACAUGCAGUUUGUUUGAUUCAACUUCCGAAUUACAAAAUUAGAAUAAGAAAAAAAAAAUGUGGAUGUUUUUUCUUUAAUUUACAUAAUAAUACAUGGUGUGGACGAUGUCUAUUGAGGGAUAAAAGAGGAAUGGGGGCACUGUGAAGUUUGUGUUUUUUGUUUUUUGUUUUUUUUAAUUAUCAUAUUCAUACUGUCUAUAAAAAUAUGCAAGUUAAAAAACUACUCAUGAUAUUGUUGUUUUUGUUUCAUAGAAUACUACUUAUGCACAUCGCCUCAUGCAAACAUGUCUUAGUUAUGCUUUAAAAAAUGAGAUUCUCACCAUGGGUCACUCUGUAAAAAUCCACAGAAGCCGUGGAUCACAGUAGGAAGCCCACUUGAAUAGAAGAAGCUACCAAAAGCUUCGACUUUGUAUGUAUGAAAUGCUUAGUAAAUUUUGUUUCAUUUUGAAUUUAUAUUCUAAAUGGUGUGUUGCUAAAUUAAAAAAAUAAAAAAGAAAUGCAAUCUAAACGCAAUUUUAAUGUCAAAAUACAAGAAUCUUAUGGACAUUUUUGUCACAAUAUAUGUAAAUAAUUCAUAUCUUAUUCAUAUCCUAUGUAACAUUCACUUGUUUAACACAAUGGCGGCUGAAUCUUCACAAAUUCAUAAUCUUAAACAACCAAAUUUAGAAUUAAUUAAGCAAAUUACCUCUAUAAAUUGAUUACAACAACCGACGACGAGUGAAGCCACAUGUCAAUUUCCCUAGACAGCCCAAAUAUUUAGGCGAUGUGAGCAAGGUGCAAUCGAUGGGGGAAAGAGAGAGAGCCAAUGGUGAGAAUGGAGCGUGGUGAGGGAGAACCAACUGGUGGUGAGAUUUGUGGCUUCAAUGAGGUGAGUUUCGUGGCGCUGUGAGUGAAGUGAGAUUUGGCAUGAGUGUGAGGGAGAACGCGUGUGUUGUGUGAGUGAGGUAAGCUGUGUCUGUUGUGUGCGUGGAGACUCUCACCACAAUUAGAAUUUAUAGUUAGCACAGAACAAAACACAAUAUUCUACGCUAACUGUGGAGUUAACCAUGGUGAGAAUAUCAUUAUUGUUUAUUAUAACACUUUUUUUUUUAAUUUGUUUUGACAAUAAAAUAAAGAACCUUGUAAGAAAACCUCGAUAACUUAAUUAAAAAAACCAACUCAACCGAUGAUAGGUAAAUUGAGAAAUUUUCAACUAAAAAUUAUUAAGAUUGGUUUUAACUUCAAAUCAUAGUCACAUAGUUUUGUCCUUAUAAAGAUCAAAAUAAUGAAUUCUAACUCCGAAGUUUUUAGAUUUAUGUGACGACAGUAUAUUGAAAUCGAUUGAAAUGGAAAAUUUAAUCAAAUGCAAUUCAAGAUGUAGCAUCAAAUUCAAACGAUUCGGAUUGUUUUAAAAAUUUCAAUGCUUUAAUCUAAAUCGAUUAAUCAAUUACACUCUUGCAAUUAUAUACCGUUAAAACUAAAAUAUGUAAAAUUUAGGGUGCAUUUAGUACCAUUUUCAAUUUGUUGUUUUUCAUUUUAUGAAAAGGAAAAUGCAGAAAACUUGUUUGGUGAGCUCAUUUUGGUGGAAGAUUGUACAGUGAUUAAAAACAAAAAAAAAAUUCAUUUUUCAAUGUUUACAAAGGAAACAAGAAAACGCUAUUAUACUGGGUUCUCUAUUUUAUUUCACUUUUACUCUCUGCGAAGGCCCUACCAUCUUAACUUUUAUAACAUGGUGUAAUAAAUUACGUGGGCCCAUUUAAUAAAGAAAUAAUCUAAUAAAUAAACUAUUAUAACAAAUAUUUAAAAAUAAUAGCAUUCCGUACCUUACAGCUUAAUUACUUAAUAUAUUACCCAAAUUAUUUAAAUAAAAAGUAAUAUCAUAUAAUUAUUAUACUAAAUUAUUACAUUGUUCGACCAAUAUGCAGUUAUUUAAAAACUACUACAAACUUUCUUACAUAUAUUAAUGAAAAUAUAUCAAUAAUAAAAUUACAUCUUGACAGUUAAUAUAAAUAAAUAUAUGAUAAUUAUGAAAUAAUUUAAGAUUUUCUCUAUUAAUAUUAUCUUAUAACUACAAUUUAUUUACAUAAUUAAAAGUUUUUAAGAAAUUAUUAAAAUAUCUUCAAACCUAUAUGCAUUUAUAAUAAUAUAUAAUACAUCAUAAUAUAAUAACUAAAUAGAUAAAUUAUUCAAUAAUAUAAAAUAUAUGUUUAUAUUCAUUAUAUUAUAUUAUUAUUUCAUAGUAGUUUCAUUAAAUAAUUCUCUACUCUCUCUCUUUUUAUCUUUAUUUUUUCGAACAGACAACUGAGACAAGUAACCAAACACCUCUUCACCUUUUUUUUAUUUUCAAAUACUGUUCUUAGAAUAAACUACCAAAUAUAUUUUUAUUUUUAACAAAAACUAAUCAUUUUUAUUUUAUAAAACAAAUUGAAAAGUACUAUUUAAAAUAUAAUACCAAACUUACCCUUAAUAAUUUUAUAUUUGUCAAAAGAUUAGAAGCUAAGUGGCACUAUCGUUUACCUAUUCAAACUAAACGUGGAGUCACAAUAUUGAAGACACUUUGGUGGUCACAACACUCUUUUCUUUAGUACGGAACAAUCUGGCUUACAUGACACUAUAUAAAAAAAAAUAAAAAAAAAUCACCGAUUUCAACUGGCCCGGACAAAAAACAGGCCACACGUAAAAAGGCUUUUAUUUUUAUUUUUAUUUCUCCCCAUUUUAAAGAUGACCUCAUGGUGAUUAUGAAACCAGCAAAUAACAAAUUUUAGUUGUCUGAUUUUGUAGUUAUCCAGCGAAAACAAAAAAAACAGUAAACGCAGCAGCAGAUCUCCGUGUUUGUCGUCGUUCGAUGAGAGAUUCCGAUUCGUGAGCAUCGCAAGUGUUGAAAUGGAAUCAGACGAAAUGAGGAGUUAGCCUCUUAUUAUAUAAUAAUAAUAAUGAUAAUAAUAAUAAUAACUAAUCUCUUUUAUCAUAUAAUUGAUAAUGGAAAUUCACAUUGACAAAAGGCAAAUUACACACUGACUGGGCAGAAUAAAAAACAGUCUCUCUCAAAAGCAAUAAUUUAAACACUAACACCACCUUAAGGAGACACCCCAAAAAUAAAGCAGCAAGCUCUUACUGUGACCACACACACACACACACACCAAACCUUUAUUAUAGAAUAAAUCUAAGAUGAUGGAUGAUGGAUGCGUCACAUAAAAGUUAAUUAAUUUAAUCGCUGUCACUGCUGCUGCUGCUCUCGUGUCCGUCCUCGUGCUUCUUCUUCUUCUCCUUCUUUUUCUUCUUCUCUUCACCGUGGGCGGCGCCCUCGCCGCCGCCGACACCGGGGAUCUUCUGCUUGAUCUUGUCCACCAAGCCCUCCUUGUGUUCGCCCUCCUUGUGUUCCCCGCCGUGAUGCUGCUGCUGAUGGUGAACAUCAGUAGUGCCGACACCGGGGAUCUGCUGCUUGAUCUUGUCCACCAAGCCCUCCUUGUGUUCGCCGCCGUGAUACUGCUGCUGAUGGUGGACAUCAGUAGUGUGGUGGUCCCCACUAUGGUGCUCUCCCUUGUGCUUGUCCUCCUCCUUUUGCCCUCCUCCCAUGUGAAGGGCUUCUCCGAUCUUGUGAAUAACUCCUGACAUUUUCCCUUAAAAUGACUCUGUUCCUCUUCUUUUCUUUUCAAUGAAAAAUAGUUGUUUGCGAUCUUCUUCUGGUUGUUGUUGUUCUUGUUGGGUGAUCUUGGCUUGGUAUUUAUAGGCUCCAAAAGGAGGGACUAGAAUUAGGAUUAGAUUAUAGAUUAUUUUAAUACAUUUUAUGGCAAAUUCUGAUUUGGAAAGAUAAGAUUAUCCUUUUGGUUUUCCUUAUUUACCCUUUUGCACCCAUUACGUGUACGCGUCUUCGUGGGCUUUUUGGGUAUUUCAAUUAUAUCGCCAAUGCUAAAUCGACACGUUGCAUCAUCAGCCGCGGUACUGCCAGUAUGUAGUUGUCCAGAAAUCGAGUCGAUUCUCGAUCGUACAAUAAUUAAAUAAUAUUUCAUACGAAAUGAGUUUAGAUAUAUUUUGAAAAUUUAUUUUUAAUUUAAUUAUACGUGUCAUAUAUUUGUUAAUCGAAUAGAGGUCCCACGUAACAGAGUGUUUCUCUAAUCUUUCAUUGCUUUUAAUUAAUUUUACCCAAAUAAAAAAAAAAAGGAAAAUUUAGAGAGAGAGAGAGAGAGAUAGCGAAUUAGAAGUUGAUUGUAAUAUCGACACCUGUCAGACAAUCAAAUAUCGUUAGUUAAAAAUCAGUUGUCCAUAGUCAUGGUCAUAGAUGGCGAAAUUGAUACUUAUUUUAAAAAACAAAACAAAACAAAACGAAACGAAACUAAACUAACAGAUGUUGAAAUGCAGUUCCGUGUUAACAGUCUGUGAUGAAUCUUUAUCUUUGAGUAUACCAUUCAAGAAAUUAUCAUUCAAAAAUUUAUUUAAAGCAGCAGCAAAUCACCUUCUAAUUCCUGAAUCAAAUUAAUUCGAUUUUUUUCGAGUCGAUCAAUUCAUUAGAGAAUUAACGGGCUAAGUUAAAGUUUUGUUAGUUAUUUUUUUUUAUAUUCCUUUAGAUGAUAUGAUUGUCAUUGUCUUUCUUUCUCUGGGCAACAAUAAAUACAAGAUGUGCAAAAGCGUAGUGGAACAUAAUUCGAUUAUGGGUAAAGGGAUCAGUCCGCAUAAUGAGGAUAAAGUUUUUCUCUUUAAAAAAAUUUAACCCAAAGAAAAGGUCGUAGUUUGUAAUAGCCGACACGCAGAUAGAUCACAAAGCAUGGCGGUCCUGAUGGCAAUAACUAACUGAUAUCUUCUGCGAUGAGAGGAGAUCACGUGGUUCUGACACGUAUCGCCCCAUCAACUGAUGUUGUGGCUGCAAUCGCGGCCCAGUCUUUAGAGAGAAGAAAGAUCUGUUAUAACGGGACCUACUUUAGCAUCUAUUUACGACAAAGCCCCUAUUUACUCUACUUAGUAGUAAUAAUAGCAAGUGUCGGGCUUGGAUUCCGUGUUGCUUUAAAUAAAUAUCCGCGUAAAAAGAAAAUGCUUCUUUAAUCCCUUUCCUUGUAAUUUUUCGACACGUGGAUGGUUGAAAUUAGCGUGCCGACAUCUUAGGAAUUUUAUCUUGGAGACGGGAACACUGCAGUAGGCAAUGCCAUUUUCUUCGGAUGGUGUGUGGUGACAACGCCUUGGAUUUUGACGUGCAAAGAAUUUAAAUUGAAAAAGAAAAAAAGAAAUUACCAGAAUAAGCAUAGAAGAGAUAUUUUUCUUUUUGUCCUUUUUGGAAUGGAAAAAGAGAUCAAGAGAUUGUUCCAGUAAGUAUUACACAUGUCACAGGCUUAUUCAUGCCCCAUUAUGGCAACUUUUAUGCCUCGCGGUGCCCUCGGUUCCCGCAUAAUAGCUAAGACUUCAAUUUUCUAACAUAUUUUUGUUACAAAUAUGAACGGAGUAAAUGUAUAACUUUAAUCCUUUGAAUAAAGAAAUGGCGGUUCUCCUGCUCGUUAAUCUCACUUGAAUCCCACCCAGGCAAAAUUUCUUUAUUUUAUUUAACAACAAUUUAAAGAAAGAAACUUUUGCCAGGUUGAAUUUCAAGUGAGAUUCAUUCGUGGGAGAAGUGCCAUUUCUUUAUUCAAAAGAUUAUGGUAAUUACAACUUUCAAUUUCGACAUAAAUUAAAAUUAUAGGCUAUACAAUAAAAUUGCCCUAAAUUAGUCCUAAUCAAUUCAGAUUAUAAAUUUAGGUAUAUUUAUGAUUUUAAUAUAUUAAUGUUCUAUAUAUAUAUAUGUACAUAUAUAUGUACAAUAUUUUACAAAAUAUUUGCUAUGGAUAAGGAGACAUGGUCCCACGUCCCACCGUCCCAAUGCAUAUUUUGUAUGUUUCCAUCUUUUCUGAAAUUUUAAUAAAUAAAGUUUUUUGACCACUUGGCUAAAGAACCUUACCCUUACACAACUUUGUGGUUCAAGCCCCGUGAUACAUGUAAGAACUUAUUUUCUUUCUUAAUUAUAAUAUUUUAGAAUAUAAUUAAGUGAAGUAGGUUUUUUUUUUAAAUAUGAAUAAAAUAAGUAUUUUUUGAAUAUUAGAGAGAAUAAAAUUUGAAUAAUAAUAUAUUAAAAUUAAUAUAAACUAAUUUUAAUAAUUAUCUAAUUAUAAAUAUUAAUUAUAAUAUCGUACAUCUCAAUUAAUUCAAAAAUAAUAAUAAUAAAUAUUUUUUGGGAUAAGUAAACGGUCGCAUGCCGACAAUAGUGGAUCUGGAUUAGAGUGAAGUGGUCCCAAGAGCAAGAGGCUGUGGCUCUGGAGUUCUAAAAGUCAAAAGCUCCACGCACUUUGUUUCAGUACCAUACACACUGAAAAAAUUUGCAUUUGCAAUGACGAAAACUUUUCACGAAAUCAAAACACCUCUAAACUAUUUUGUUAUCGAUAUUUAAUGGAGGGGUUUCCUACCUUUUUAACACUCGAUUCACGCCUUGACGCAUCUCACAGAAAACCUCAUGAUCCCAUUAAUCUUGCGUAACAUAUCUCAAAGCCAAUGCAAGUGAUCUUGUUGCCUACUUCCCUUUGACGAUUCAAAAUUGUUGAAAAUAAUUCUUUUUUUUUUUUAACCUCAAGGAAGUGACAAAAUAUAAAAGAAUAUUUUCUACACAUUAAACAUCUAGAUUUUUUUUUCCUUUUCUUUUUAGAGUACUUGCACAAACCGUUUCCAAGAGAGACCUUUUUUUUUUCCGGGCUUGGUUACUAAUUUGGUGUGAAUACUCUAUGGUGAAAAAGGAAUCACAAAGCUGUAAUCAAUUUUUUUGCAUCAUUUAGUUGUAACUUGAACAUUGGGAGGUUUAUAAAGAAUUAAAUUAAUUAUAAUGCCUCUACUAGGAAAAGUUCAGAGUAGCCCUUCACAACUUUUUAAAGGCUUAAUAAUUUUCGCUUUCUUCCUCUCAUAACAUAACAAAAAAUUAAGAGCUUUACUUGUACACGUCCUAUGGCUAUAUAGUAUUGGGUUCUCUACUUCAAUCGGCUAUCUCAAACCGAAGGUUAUUUGGACACACCAGCAGUCACGUUUGGAAACUCUCAAAUGCUUGGAUUGUAAUUCUUGUGGAUGAGAUCAUCUAAAUCUUGGGCCCAAGCCGGACAAUGGGUGGACAAAGAACCCUAAAAUACAGUAAAGCUUCUAACACCCCACUAAAACUCUUAAGAAAUCCUACCUUUUAUUUUUAUAUCUCUUUCUUUUAGAAAUUAUAGAGAAGACAUAGCAUUUUAAUUAUUUUCCCUGCCAUUUAAAAUAAAUUCUGUAAACAUACUUUUUCAUAAUAAAAUUAUUGUUAUUAGAUAAUUUAUUUCUUCAUUGUUUCAAAAUUAUUAUAAUUUUAUCAACAAAAUUAAUUAUGUCAUAUAUUAGGAUUAAAAUUAAUUAGGAUCCAUAACUUGUAAAGACAUUUUAGUUUAAUUGAAUUCAUAUUUGUCAUUUUAUGUAAUUUUCAAUAAAAAUACGACUAUGAGUGCAAAAGUGGGAUGACAUAAUAUUAAAAGAGUGUGAAAUAAUCGGUAAUUGAAAUGGAUUGAAAUCAUAAUAGAGUAUGAAAAUCAGAAUAAAUUGUUUACUUUAGUUGUAGAAAUCAAAAUUAAAAUAAACCAUAUUAUCAUUGAUGUAUAUAUGUUUUCUUGUAAUCGAAAUGAAUUCUUAUAAGUUACUAUAAGACCCUUAUUGUGUGUUUACUAAUCAGAAAUCAGAAUGGAGUGGAAUUUGAAUAUAGAAUGGUAGGGGUAUUCGCGGAUCGGAUUUUACGGAUUGGACAUUAAUUCAUAUCCGAUCCAUAAUUUUACGGAUUAUAAAUUCUCAACACAAUCCAAAUCCAAUCUAUAUGUUUGCAGAUCGGAUGCGGAUUUGACUCAAUUCAUAUCCAAUCCACUAUUUGACGGAUUGAUUUUGGAAUUAAAAAUUUUUAAUUUUGUCCAAUCUAUGAGGUAAUUAAAUUUAAAAAUCUAAUAUAAAAAUAAUUUUACUACCAAUUAAAUUCAAAAUUGAACAAGAUUUAAAUAAAUAAAUUAUUUAAAUAAAACUAGAAUAAUUUAUUUAAAAUUUUUAAAUAUAACAUAUCGAAAAAAAAUUCAUUUGUUUAGAUUAAUAUAUGAAAAUUAACUAAAAUUAUGAAUUUAAAUGUUGAAAUUUGAGAGCUUGGAUGUAACAGGAAGAAAUUAAGAAACUUGAAGAACUUGAAAAGAAAGUAACAAAUUAAGCUUAACUACCUCUAAUGGUGAAGUGAAACAGUGAUGGUUUGUGCGUGCAAUGGGGUACAAAUUUGGCAUUAUAUGCCAAAAUAUUUUGUUUGGCUUUAGAAUUUUUAAUGUUUAGGAAGCUAUAUUUGUUUAUUUAAUUACUCAAAUAUUUAAUUAUUUUUUAUUUUAUGUUAUUAUUGAAUAAGAUAUAAUAUUGUGUUAAUUUAGCUAUACUUUAAUUAAUUAAUUAAUUUAUUAGUAAGUAGCAUUGCUACAUUUAUAAGUUUUAUUUUUUAUUAAAUAAAUACUUUUUUUUUUUCAGAUUCACGAAUUUUUACGGAUUUACAGAAAUAAAUCCAUAUCUAAUCCAUCGACUGUGGUUUUUUAAAUUUUCAUUCCAAUCCGAUCUACCAAUCCACAAAUUAUAUUUUUACGGAUCGGACAAAUUGAGCGGAUCAAAUUGGGUUCUGAACACCCCUAGAGAAUGAGAAUCAAAAUAAAUUAUUUACUUUAGUUGUGUGAAUCGGAAUUGGAAUAAAUUGUACUGUCAUUGAUGUGUUUACUUUAUUUUGGAAUCAGAAUGAAUAAUUUCAAAUUACUAAACUGACCUUAAUUUUUUAUUGUAAUAAUAAUAAUAAUAAUAAUAGUAGUAGUAGUAGUAAUAGUAGUAAUUUUCUAUUAUUAUUAUUAUUUUCUCUCUCUUUUGUUUUUAUUUUUUUAUUUUUCUCUUCUUCUUCUCUUCCUCUUUUUUUAUUUUUCUCUAAUUCAUCGAUACUUCUUCUUCUUCUUUUUUCUUUCGUUUUUAUUUUUAAUUUUUCCCUUCUUUAUCGUUCCUUCUUCUCCGUCCAUUCUCUAUCUUCAAACUCUUUUUACUUUUUCUCUUAUUCUUCAUUACUUCUUCUCCCUUUUUUUUUUUUCUCUUCUUUAUUAAUUCUUCUUCUUCUGCGUCUAUUCUUCAUCUUCAAAUUAUCAAGUGAAAAAUACCCACGGUGCCUUACAAGAAGAAUUGGUUUUGUUUGCUUCAAUUAUUUUUUGUAUUUUGUACUUUUGAUUGUUUCAAAAGAGGAUAAACUUGUAAUAAUGCAAUUUAAGAAGGGAUGUUUUAGACAAUUUUGGGUAUGAGAGUCUAAUUCCCAACCCCCCACUCCCUCGUAGCAGACUCCCAUUCUUCAUUCCUAACUUGGUGUUGGACCUACUAAAAUAAAUCCCAUUCCUCUUCUUAUUUCAAGAAGCAAACACGAUUUUGAUUUCAAUUCCCCAAUCCGAAAGUAAACGCACAAAAAUUGUACCCAUAUGAGAUUGCUUAUCCUCGAGUUUUUAGAUUGAAAAAAAAAAAGGAAAAAAGAAUGGCCCCAUUAGGAAGGGAUUUUAAGUGUUAGAUAAAGCCGGUGUUAACCAUUAGAAGGUCUCCGACCUUCAACUGUAAUAUAUUAAACCCAGAUAAAUUUACAUAUAAAUCACACAAACCAACAUGCCAAUCAAAUAAAUUACAUCAACUAACAACAAUUCACACAUUAAUUUUCAUAAUACAGAGGAUGCAGAAAAUUAAAAUGUUUUAUCUUUUCUCCUUAUUUGUGAAUUGGAAAAUGAAAAUGUUAAACAUACAGAAGAGUGAAACAGGAUGGAUAUAUAUACACACACACACACACACAGCUUUGGAGUUCAAUGUCAUCGUAUUGCUCCAAGAAGAUUGGCGCCAUCAAGCUUUGCACCUUCCAGAUGCUGUUUAAUCAUCACCAUAACACCUUCAGGAGACAUUAAUACAUAAUAGAAACACAAAAUUCACAUGAUCUGAAUGUCUGGUCUAUUUUACUUACCGUAUCUCGAAGAUUUACGUGCCGUAAAUAAGCUCUUUGAAGGUUGGCACCCUUUAAAUUGGCAUUACGUAGCUUUGCACCCUGCCGCAUAAAUGUUCGAAGUUUCAACAAAUUAAAGUCUCCUGAGAAAUACAUGUCACGAAAAAGUAGGGCUGAAACUUGCAUCUAAUGUACAAGAUUCAAUCAGGGGUGCUUGUCCCACAGUGAAAGUGUAUGGGGGAAAGUGCACUUUCACAAACCAAAGGGGCAAGAUGUGAUUAUCACACGAUUACAAAAGGACUGUAGUCAAGAGAGAGAACUGAACAUGCAGCUUGUAUUGAGGCCAUGAAAAUUGAUGAAAAGCAGUAACAAGCAACCAUUUUGAAAACACUUCAUAUGGUCGAAUCAAUAAAUCAAAGCUAAAAUGAUGUUGACGAUCGAUAGCUUUUAGGUGAUAAGAGUCUUGGCACUACAGUUAAAAUUAUUAUCUAGGAGUGCACACAUUAAUAAAAAAAAACACAACCAAUAAGCAUGCACUCUUAAUCAGCAUAUAAAUUAACAAGUUAGUUGCACCUUAUGUUGUUCCACAAACAGAUUGCUCGAACAAUUCACAAUCUUACCUUCAAAUUAGCUCCUUCCAAAUUAGCUCCCUCUAGGUUGGCAUUAGUAAGAUCAGCAGUCUGAAAAGUCAAGAGGACAAACAGAUUGCAAUUUGAUUAAAAUCUCAAAGUAGCAACAUUCUGCAUGAAAGAAGAGCAGCACAAUUGGCAACAUACAUUUUAGAUUAAGAGGAUGGGAUAAAAGCAAAAUUACAAGGACAUGAAGCAAAUGAGCCAUGUUUAGUAUGGCAAUUUUGACCCAAUAAUUGUGGCAGGUCUUGGAGAUAACAUAGGCAUACACAUAAGGCAGAAGCAAAUACUGUCGCAAACUCCUAGCUAACUACAAAUGUUCCAUAUAGAAAAAAACACCUGCAAAAGUAAGGGAAAAAGCAACAGAUAAAGAACUCAAGAUGCUAGACCUGUAAGUGUGCAGAUCGCAGGUCUGCUCCACAGAAGCUGCAGUCUAUCAAGCAAGCAUCUGCAAUGAUUUAAGAUAAAUUUGAAUCCAAAUGACAUUUUACCGCAAGUAGUUCCAGCCAUUUUGGGAACAAACAAGAAAUGCUAUUUUGUAUUCAUUGUAAUUCCUUAAGCUAAAUAACAAUCAUGUGCUAUCUUAACCAAGGUACAGUUGCAAAAUCUGAAAUUGUGAUGCCAUAGGUUGUUCUUAAUCUUUUUGAACUGAAUAUUGAAAAAAUAUUCCUUCAAUCAUAAAUGUUAAAUAAUUAAAAGAACUGUGAGGGGGGGGGGGGGAAUGAAUAAGCGGAUGCAUACAGAAAAUUAUGGAAAAUCUGUUAUGGAAAUAAUAUGAAAAUGGGUAUGCAUAACUACAUACUGAAUCUUGACUAAUUUCAAUUUAAUUCAGAUAAGAAAUUCCAGUAUGGGAAUUGCCUUGUAAAUUUGCACUCUGAAGAUUUGCACCAGCUAGUAAAGCUCCACGAAGGUUUGCCCCAGCAAAUUCACAUCUUCCCUAGGCAAGAUAAAACCCUUAAAAGGCAAUUUUGAAAAAUACAUAUAAUUGGGAGAAUAUCCAGUAUUGCUUUGACUCUCUUACUCACGCAAAGUUGCAUUGUGAAAAAUGGAACCCUCAGCAUCCACAUCCUGUAUCAAGAACAGACAGAUUCAGUAUGAUUAAUAUAACUGGUUGCUGGAAGACAGGACAAAAUCGCAUCUUGUCACUGUCAACUUGCAUGUUAAGAAUUAAACACGAAAACUGCAUGCUGUCCAAUUAUAAGAAACCUAUAAAAUUCAAAUCAACAUCAAUACUGGCUUAAGGAAGAUAUAAAAAUAAAAAUUAUACCAACCCGAAAUUUCGCAGAUUGAAGAUUUGCACGUGAGAAGAAAACAUUUCUAAGACACGCAUAGCUGAAGUCCACAAGUGAAAGAUCCUGGCCAUUUUAAUAAGAUAGCAUCAGAGGAAACAAUAUCUAAUGAAUAUAUAAUGUUCUUUCUUGCUUAUCUGAGAAUACUAAUGAGAUUAUCAAAAAAACUCUAAGCUACCGCUAAGAAGUCUUGUGUUACAUGAGUAUGAAUUGAGGAGGUAAAGAAGACCCUUCUCCAAUAAGUUACCAUAGAAGCCACAUAAAACCCUAAAGCAGUUACAAACUUACAAUGACCAGAAUAAACCACCCCAACUAUCUAUUGGCAAGUAAAAUCACUUCUCUGGAUUUCUGAAAACUAGCAAAACAAAUGCAUAAAUUGGCAAAUUCGAUGAUUUCCUCUGAAAACCAAAUUAUAGCAGACAUAAAACUUGGAAGUAUUCAUAGAAUAAAAAUCUUUCAAGCACCUCAAUUCAGUAAUUAUUACCAGCUUAGAAAGAUCAAGGCCAGAAAGAUUAAGUCCUCGAAAUCUGACUUUUUCAGACUGUAUACACUUGAUGAUAUCAAUGCGUGUUAGCUCAGUAUCUAACUCAUUAUCUUCCUUUCUCUUAUUUAUGACAGCAUGGAUUCUCUCAAUUAGUCCCUGAAAUGAAACACAUUAGAUGCAAACUAUUAUUUGAAAAAAGAAAUACAUUUUAUCCACUAACACACAUGGAUUUCAACAGCAAUCAUACAAUAAUUGAGGAAGGACGGUCAUAUCAGACUCAUCUGCCAAGAUUCAAUAAGCACAUCAAACUUGUUUACAUGUAAUUUCCACAUUCCACGUGAAUUUAUAAGGUCUGCCUAAGCAAACCAAAGAAGGCUACACUCAGUACUGUGUGUAUACUGCCUUACCUUUGCUGUUCCCCAGAUACCGUCCUGCAAUCCAGAUACUUAGCUGUGAAGUUUCAAGCCAGCGAAACCAUUUUAAAAGUACACAUGGACACAGAUACCAUUAUCUGAAUCAUCUUCGAUAACAAAUUAAAAUGCCCUAGCGUUCAAAAAACUUAGGAUCUCUUUAAGUGAAGUUCCUUUAAAAAAGUAGAAAAAAACUGAACAACAAUGUCAUGCUAAUAAAAGGUAAAAAAAAUAAAAUAAAAUAAAGCAUAAGGACAGAAGUUCACCAGGAGCAUGCCAGUAUAAACCAAAACGACCACAAAUCUCAACCAUAAAAUUUAAAGUAGUAAAGUAAAUAAUCAAGGGCAUGCAGUUGGCACAGGUGCUUCCAAAUAAAAUGAUGAUUCUUUUCAAACAGAAAAAAGAAAUGGAUGUUAAUAAACUAGAAGAAACCAUGUCUUACAAGUAAUUGAUAAUAUUCUGCUUCCCGUAGAAGCUCUAAAAACUCUGACUCUGUUAAUGUGGGGACAGCCCCAUCCCUUAACCAAUUCAGAAUAUGCCGAAAAUGUUUUCCGUCCCUAUCAACAAAGAUAUAGCCCUGCAAUAAUUCAAUAUGCUCAAAGAUAAGAAUCUGAAUAAUAUACCCAAGAGAAGUGCUUUUCCCUGGAAUAAUAAAAAGAAAAUAAGUCAAAACGUUUUUCUUAAUGGAAGAACACAAAGGAACAGCUCUAUGACUAACAUGAAAACCAUAAAUCAGAAUAAGAACCCAAAACUGGUCAUUUGGAGUUUCACCAGAUCAAAAAGAUCACAUGGAAAUAAAAUUGUGAAAAUGGGAUUAUUUAUGCCGAGGUCAUGGCUAAACUGCAAUCAUUACUCCAUUUUUGGUAGAAGGAGAAGAAGAAAGAAGAGUAGGUGAGUCAUCAUUCUUUCAGGUGAGUCAUCAUUCUUUCUCUGUGAUUAAUUGAUAUGAUGGAAGUGUUGCAGAUAUUAAUUUGAUAGUGAUUCCUCCCUUCAAAAGAAUUCAUUCCUUUUUUUAUUAUUUCACAAAGUUUAACUAAGACUGAGUUUUCUCAAUUUGAAGGCAUCGUGCACUCUACCCCUUUCUUUUCCUCACAUUGCUUCUUCCCAAUCCCAAAGGGAAGAAAUCAAGAAACAAUUACAAUUUUUAACUAUUCACCAGCAAAAACAAGGCAAAGAAAGAUGCUGAGUGUAAGCAAAAAUAAGAGAGUUAUACACCUCAGAGUCUUGGCACACAGUAUGGCGACCGCUGAACAUAGCUGCAAGCAUAGAUUCAGGCUCACGACGAGUCAGAGUAUCAAUUGUUGUAUAAAAUUUCUUUCCCCCUGGAUAUUAAUACAUAAAAUAUAAAUUUGUUCACUUAAAAGCAUGAAUUGUGCAAAUUUGUCAAUAAUGUCAUUCUUUCACAAACGUUCACCGAAAUGUAUAACAAUAAGUGCAUCAUAACAUAACUAAACGGCUUAAGAACUGCGCAGAUAUUACAUACAGUAGAGAAACAAGAAAUAGAAAAUGAGAUUUGCCCUUUUUAAACAGAAAGCAAUCAAAGAGUAAACUAAAGAGCUAAUAAUUCACAAAAUUCAGUUGAUUAAACUCAUUUACAAGUAAUUAGCAACAAAAUCCAAGCUAAAUAAAAAUAAUGAAAAUUAGGUUCUUAUAACAUCCGUCAAUUCUAUGAAAGUUUACCACGAUCAGCAACAAAUAGAUAAAUCGCAAUAAAGAAAAACCGACGACAUGUCGGUUGUGUAGUGCAUAAGUAAAGGAAUUUGCAGAUGAUGUAAAGAGAAUGAGGGAUAGUAACUGACCGAUGUUGAGACGAACCAUUGAAGACGAAUCGGAGUCCUUCGCCAUUGUCGAGUGUAAUGACUUGUCGUCUUACUUGCGCUCAUAGGUAUUUAUAUCAUAGCUGACACUGUUCGAAGGACAGCAAGGAUUUGGUGGGCACAAAUGCAUUUUGGAAAUUGGGCUUCGGCCCAAGAAAUCGAAAAUCAGAGGCUUUUUUUAAAAAAAAAUUUAAAAGGAUUAGAAUGUCUAUAAAUUAAUAGGGCUGAGACCAUCUUAAAUCUAUUAAGUAAAAGAGAUAUUAAAUAUUUUAUUAAUUAAUAAUUUAUUAAUUUACAGAAUUAUUUAUAAUUCAAUUAACAUACAUUUAAUAACUAAACAUUCAAUGUACAUAAUUUCUGAUUACAAUUCAAAGCACUAACAAUACUUCAUAAUUUCUUAUUACAAUUCAAGAAUUCAACCUCAUAGCUUUUAGAUG
rnacentral:lncRNA from 1 species